AAACGCAUGAACGCCCCUCCACGUGCGAUCUCACGCGAAACGGUACAUAAAAUAUCGCGACUUUUGCGAAAAUACCGUUUUGCUAACACCGACCUCUCCUCGAUCAACGCGCGAUCUCCGCAGAUCCGUCCGUCAGAUUUGCGAACGGAUUGCACCAGUGCGAUCAGCACGACGGAGACAACAAAGCUACGAUUUCGUUUCGUCUUGAUCGACCACGGAUUCACGACAAAAUCCAACCUUCUUCGAAUAGAAGGAAACACACACAUAAAUACAUAUAAAACAUGUAUUUUUGGAUUUUCUCGAAAUCCGUGCGUCAAACUCAAAAUCCGUCAGCGCCAGUAGUUCCAGAACAGCUGAACCGGUCGAAACGAGCUAUUGGACUGCUAUGAACAGAGUCCGGUACGAGCCAGAAGCCAACUUCUCACCGCGGCUUCUCCGGAAAAUCGAGUUACUAUUCACUUUAAGUGAAACUUGGAAAUCGCGUAGAAUUUUCGUUUUAACUCGUUUUCGCCCGAAACUUGACGAGUGCUUUUGUAAUUAAAUUACACACAAAAACAUCAUCAACUGAGAGUUUAGCUACACUGCAAAAAUCUCAGUCCUUACACAUAUGCUCUGGCUAUCCACAUCCAAAACACCGGCCCUCACGCUGCUCACACUGUCGGGCCCCGUGUGGUCCCCCACAAAUCACACACUGUGGCGACCCCUGCGACUGCCUCUGCUGACGGAAUCCCCUAGAACACUGACGCCCCGAAGACCCAUGACCCUGAGAGCGUGAUCGUCGUGGUCUCGGCGGACGCCUGCUACUCGACUGUCCUCCGUCGUCUGGAGCUGGGCGCUUCCUGUCCUGACUCUGUCCCGCUGCCUGAGUCCUCUCCUGAAGCGGCACCUCACCUCUCUCCACCCAUAAGGCCUGCUCUAUGGACGCAUCCAAGGUCCUCGACCUCUGCGCUCACACAAGCCUGAAGAUGUCGGGACUCAGCCCCUGCUCAAACAGAUAAACCCUGUGUGCCUCGUCCCUUGCCACAAACGGCACACAGUUCAGGAGUCGAGUAAACUCCCGAAUGUACUCCUGCACUGGCCGAUUCCGCUGCUGAAUCCUCUUCAAAUUCUCCUCGAGCUUUUGUUUCACACUAUUGAAAAAAUACAUCCCAUACAGCAUUCCACAGAACUCAUCCCAUCUAAGUUGCAACGCUACCAGUCCCAGAUCUCGCCUCACUCUUCUCCACGAGGCAUGUGCAUCGCCUGCCAAGCAAUGAACUCCUAAAGAUACCUGCUCCCUCUCAGGAAUGAAUAGAUCCUCAAAUAGCUUCUCCAUCGCACUGACCCAACCCUCAACAACCCAGACCUCAGUGCCACUGCCAUCGAAGGUCGGCGGAUCAAAACGGCGAAAACGAGCCAACCUUUCGGUCAUCCGCUCCUGCUUGGCCUCAGUCAACUGUCCUGGCCCUUUAGAAGGCGCAACCGACGCUGCGAGAAUAUCGACUGGCGGGGGUACGGCUGUGGCUGGUGCUGCGGCUGAAGUAGUCGAAGGUAGAACAGCCGGCUCUGGUUCUCUCGGUACUGUACUCUGUGGCAGAGCUACCCUCUCGCACAACCUCUCCAAUAACUCCCCCUGUCGCCUCGUCACCUCUGUUAGGGCGGCUAUCUGUGCACCCAAGUCAGGGGAUGCACUCGCCUCCGGUCGAACACUCUGCUCCACAACAGGAGGUACACUCGCCUCCGACUACUCCGGUAUUUCGGAAGGUCCCACACGAUCCUGCGCCAACUGGGCACGCUCCUGCAACGACGGUCGACCUCGGCAGCGAUACAUAGCUGCAAUAAAUAAAAACAGGGUCAGAUAAAACACAAACACUCUCGACCCAAUCAAAAGAAAGUCUAGAAGGCGGGCUCCUGUUUCUCCUCAAAAUUAUGUCGUCUGCAGCCAACAUAAUUUUUCUGGACCGAAACAGAAACUCCUUCAAUCACUCUCUCCACUUCAGGAGGAGUUAAAACAAUUAAUCAGCAACUUUCGCGAUAAAUCACGCCUCUCGCGUCUUGCCUUCCUAAGGUUUGCCAAACUUAGGUUUCCUAGAUCCCAACGACCUAAUGCUAAGCUCUGAUACCAACUUAAUCUGUCACGCCCGGGUUACACGUUUCCCCGAGCGCGCCAACAGACCCGCCGUAUACAAAGGAGUUUUCCCUGUAUACGAAGCGAAGCUGUACUGAAACUAUAAUUAAACAACAUUACAACCAGUAGUAUAGAGCUGCUAGAAAGAAAAAGAACAAGUAAAACAAAAGCGAGCUCCAUAUACAUACAUAAUAUCCAGGUACAAAAAGGGCUCGCCCCAGCGAGUUAUAACAUUUGUACGUACAUGAAACAGAAGUAAAUCUACCUGCAGCGGGGAUCCUCUAUCUCAGCAACUCGUCGGGUAGGGCUCUAGCUCGCAACGCCCUUGCCACGAUCAGCCCCAGAAGAUACAGCAGCCGGAACCGAUGGCUCUACAAAAGAAGGGUAACAACUGGGCGUGAGAACUACUGUAAAACAAGUAGUCCUCAGUGGGUGCCGCCCUCAAUAUCAUCGGUCCACCCACUAAGUCUACAGAAGGAAGUAAAGAUAGUAGGGAAAACUGGAAGACAAUUUUACAGCUAUAUGCCACUACACUAUCAUGCUCUGCACUAACCAACUGUAGUAAAAGUAAAUCCUGACCCAAUCUCACCAGGGACUGUGAUACACCCGUCCCGCCUAUUGAAGCUACACUAACAACCACCACGCUUGGUAGUUAGUGGAGAGCAAGUCCAACCAGGACACAACGGCACCAACGCAAAAGUAUAAAGCCCGACUCGGGAGUGACACUCGUGGGCGCGACCGAAACGAGUAUGCAAGCGUAUCUCUGUCGAGCUCAAUCAGACUCUCACAAACUAAAGUCAAGAAACAGGGUCCAACUGGUCUAGCAACGAACAAGUCACUUGCCUUCGGCACAAUCUGAUGCCAACACGGCAAACGGGGUCCACCGUCAAUCCCGACGGCACCCAACUAUCCGGAACAGUCUGAACACUACUGCAAAAAUACACUCGGCAUCCUAGCACGAGCGUAACAGAGAUCUAAACUAUCUGCGGUAUCCACCACGCCGAUACUGCUGCGAUACAAAAUAACAACAGCUCCUAGAGCUAAAUCAGAUAGUUUAAGCAUAUGACAGGUCAUAAUCGGAGUUUUCUCCUAAGUUAUAUCCAAGUCCCUCAUGUGUAGUAGAUACUAGCCAAAGACAAAGCUCCAAUUCAGAUUUUUAAAGAAUAACGACAUGAAAUCCAUGAAUCGAGCAAUCUAAAUAUACUAAACAACACGAUAAACACAUGCCGACUAUAUAGCUACUUAGGAGGUAAACCGACGAUUAACCCACCUCGAAACGCUAAAUGAACACCGGCGCAACGUCGAAACGGCUGAAUCAUACGCUCGCUCGGCCUCCCAACGCAGCCACCACAAUGCUCGUGUGCUCGAACGGCUCCGCGGCGCGACGUCGGCGACGAAACAAAUCCACCCGAGCUCCUCCGCACGCUCGGAUCAAGCUAGAGAGAGAGAGGAAAGGAAACCAGCAUAAAACCCUCCCUCAUCUCCUCUCUACGCAACUAAGUAGUAAGGGGGGAGUGGGCGACACGUACAAGACAUGAAAAGACAAAUCUGCCCCUCACCUACCCCCGUGUACCGGUACACGGGCACCUAUACCGGUACAGAUGGCAACCCGAGAGCAGCUGCUCGCCAAUCAGGCGAAGUGUACCGGUACACCUCCGAUGUUGUACCGGUACAGAAAGUGUACCGGUACAACCCUGAUGUUGUACCGGUACAACAAGCAGAAAAUUUGCAAAUUCGCAGAUUCCAAUACUAACCCCUGCUCUCGCGUCCCCGCUGAGUCCGUUUGCGUCUAUUUCGCGCCAACGAGACUCGGACUUGUCCCGACACCCUCACGGAGUGUCGACAAGCCUUAGAAAGCUGAACACCAAAGAUACUACAAUAUUGACUGGGGCUACUAAACUCUUGUGAGUAUAGACCCCUUUGUAUUCAUAGUUUUCGGCCGUUGGAUAAAAAGAUAUACGAUUAGGAUGAUAGUGGUCUAUGGUUAAAAUGAUACUAGUCCUCAAGGGUUGAGUGGGUGAUUGUUUGAAUAAUAUGCCUCUAACAGGUGAAAAUUAAAAAGGUAGAUCUAACGGUUAGAAACUUAUAAAUAUAAUGAGAUCUAUACUCAUAAUAGUAUAGUAGCCGGACUCUUCAAAUAUUAAUUAUUUUGACAUGUAAUAUAUGUAGGAAGGGUCAAAAGGACCACUCACCUACAUUAUCUCUCACCAGUAAUUAGUAAUAAGCUUGUACUGAGUACACAUCUCAUUUUCGUUUAAUACACGGGAUAAUUUCAGAGAUUAGGGAGGAAAAUGUACUGAAGAUCUUUAUAUAUGUAGCUUAAUUUGUACGAAAAUAUGUGACGAGUUAUAAAGGAAGAUUUUUAUGACUUAAGUGCUUAUAUAGAUAAUUAAUGUUGGCCUACCCAACUUUUUAAUUUAAACAUCUAGUCACUUUCUUUUUGUUGGUUUUGACUUUUGUUUUGUUCUUUUUUUUUUCUUUUGAUAGAUGGUAGAGAGAAAGUUACCAUUUCUUAAAAUAUUGAAUUUGCACAGAGAAAAGGUUAUUAUGGUGUUUCUAACUUUUACUAUUUAAACUAUAAUUUAGUGCGAUAUCCUGUUAAUAUAAGUAAUGAUGAUGAUAAUUAAACGUGCUCUUUUAAGGCUAUUAUUAUACUGGUUCAUAAAGCUAUAUUAUUGUACUGGUUCAUAUAGUUUUAUUCCUAGACAUGUAACGGUAGUUAGAAAAUUCUUCCUAAAUAAUAUAAUUAUAAUUAAUAUACUUUAAAGAUAAUAUAAAAUAUUUCAGGGAUAAUAUUUAAUUAAUAUACCGUUCAAAACUUCAAAGGAAUCUAAUUUAUAAUUGACCCUCCAAAAUGCUCCUAUUAAUUAUAAAAAUUUCCUUCAAAUAUGCUCUUGCCCUUAGGAUUUUAUAAUGGAAUUGAUUUUUAGAAGAGUAUUUUAGGUAUUGAGGAAUAAAUUUAAAAAUUUUAAGCAGUAAUAAGGUAUAUAUAAGUAAAAGCCCUUAUGUUUUAAUUUACUUUAGACAAUAUUAUUAAAAAAAUAAAAGAAAAGCGAAAAAAAAAAAAAAAAAAAAAAAAAUUUAUAACUCUUCUAAUCCUUCCAUUCUAGACAUAAAAUUUGAUGUGUGGAUGAAAAAUUGACGGUCUUAGGAUGCGACAAUAUCAAUGCUAUAGAUACACUCUAACGUGCAAUAUAAAAAUAAUUAUUUUUUUUAUUUAUCACAACAUUCUACCGUGUAUCUACGACACGGCGUGAAUCAAGGGCCCACGUCUCUCGAUCGUGAUACGCGUCAUAUGUUACCAAAAAGAGUACAACUAUAGGGUUUGGUGGGAUAUUGAUGAGCAAAGCGAAGCCAAUGCAAGGGCGAAUUAAGAUCGCGCGAUCAGCCUAAAAAUAUGCAUAUGUAAAAGCAUAAAAGCAUGUAAUAUAUGGAUUAAUUGAAGGGACAGUACAAAUUAUAUAUAUCUUCUGCACGUUAAUUUGGUACCUGUAGCAGCAACUCAGCCGUUCAAUCUACCGUUCCGCGGCUUGAAAUUCAAACCCAUUUUGCUUAAUAAUAAACAUUUCGAACUUAGGACAAAGUUUAAAUCACCAAUAUAUUUCUCUAUAUUUUAAAACUUAAUAAAAUAUUUAUAUAUAUUCAUUUCCCCUAGUUCAUGGUGAAAAAUAUAACUAUUUUUCUUUUUAGACGUACAUAACUAACUGUAUGCCUAGUUUGAAGUACCACAAUAUCAGCAUUCAGUUGCCAAUUUAAAUCCCAUCUAUCUAUAUAUGCAUGUGUGGCUUCCAAAUGUCUCAAAACAAAAUGUUGUGAGGGGAAGAGAUAAAGGACUAAAUUUGUAAUAGUAAAAUAGUUAUUCAUUAUAAAAUAGGUCAAAGUACAAGCGAACUUUUUUAUAAGUGCUCGUUUGGUUGGUAAAUUUUGGGGAAUAAGGGGUUAUCCCCCCUAUCCCCAAACUAGAUUUUUGGGGGUGGGGAUUGCUAACCCCACCCUUCACGGGUUACCCAAGGAUUUCCAAGAAAAACCCGUUAGGGGUGGGGUUAGCAAUCCCCAUCCCCCGGAAUAGGGGUCGGAGUACGUAGCUGCUCCCACCCCUAUUUAAUUUUAAAAAAUUUUAAAUUAAAAAUUUUAAAUUAAAAAAUAUAAAUUAUAAAUUUUAAAAAUUUAUAAUUUAUAAUCUUAAAAUUAAAAUUUAUAAUUUUAAAUUAUAAACUAUAAAUUUUAAAUUUUAAAUUGAUAUUUUAAAGUUUUAUAAAUUUAAAAUUUGAUAUUUUAGAUUUUUAAAUUUAGAUUUAAUUAUAAAUUUAAAAUAUAAACUUUAAAAUUUAGAAAUUUGAAUUUUUAAAUUUGAGAUUUAGAAAUUUAAAUUUAAAUUUAAAAUUUAUUAAAUUUAAAAGUUAUAUAUUUAAAACUAAAAAAUUAAAUUCAAAUAUAAUGUAUAGGGCAAUAUCAUUAUUUUCUAUUUGUAACUACUUAUUAUUUUUCUUAUUCCAUCAUAUCUAUUCAAACGUUAUUUUUCUUAUUUCCGGAAACAACUUAAUUUUUAUCUAAAUACAAAAUUGGUCUAUUCCAAGUUUAUAUUUGAACUUAGACUCAUCGCUAGAAUAAGCAGUUCCAAUACUGUAAAUCAUAUAUAAUAGAGUCUAUUAUUGGAUUAUUGAAAUUAAGUCACGUUCCUAAACAAUAUAACAGUAAAAAAGUAAAAAAAUUGAAGUUUCUGAAUGUUAAGUAUCGGAAUUUGAAAUUUGUGUAAAUAACUCAGAAGUUUCUUAAAAUCUGAAGUUGUGAAAACUUUUUUUUUAUACUGAAUACCGAAACGCGACUCUGAGUAUCGGUAUUGAAAUCCCGGAUGUGUUUCAGUCUAGUACUCCAAGCUAAGUAUCAAUACUGAACUUCAUGACGAGUUUGAUAUAUUGGAUUUGACUCCAAUUUGAUCUAACACAUGGAGUUUUGAUAUUGUGAAUGGUUCAGCAACACUUUGGAGAGAAUAUUUAAGAGAAAAUCGACAGUCAGACAUGAAUCAAGGACUCAAAUUGAUGACGAAGAUCGUUUUCUAUUAGUAUUAGGAUUUUACAAUUAUAAACCUUUGUAAUUCAUGUUUUUGAAUUUAGAACCUUAUUGUUUGAGGUUUAUCAAAUAGAGAGCUUCGUUAUAGAUACCUUAUAAUUAGUUGAGAAAAAAACGUGGAGAGCGCUUCUUAGAGCUACAAAGCUUUUUAUAAUCAAAUCUUACUUGUUGUACUUUUAUUCUGAGAAUUUAUCGAAUAACGUAUUGAGCUGGUCUGAUCUGUGGAUAUAAGUCGACACAUUGAUAGGUAAACCACAUAAAUUCUAUAUUCUUAUGUUCUUUCUAAUGCAAUUUUAAAAUUUUAAAUUAAUUUAAAUUUUAAAAAAUAAAAUUGAGCUUUAAAUAAACCAACUACAAUUCUAUAUUUUAAUUAGAGGGUUAUAAUUGUAUAAAAUUAAUUAAUUUAUCAAAAUUUAUAAGUAAUAAAAAAGUUUUAAAAUUUUCUAGUGUAAAAUGUGCAUUGCACGCGCAUUUGUAAUAAUAUAUCUAUAUAUACAUUGCAGGUAGAAUACUACUAAUAGUAUAAGAACAGUAUUUACUACCAACUUUUGAAUAUUAGUAGAUGACUAGCUAGGGUUUAGCCGGGUCUAGCUAUCGAUUCGAAAAGCUCAAUAUCAAAAACACCUUAUGAGUACAAAGUGCUCUAUACUCAUGAGAGUAUAAUAGCCCUACUAUAUAUAUAUAUAUAUAUAUAUAUAUAUAUAUAUAUANNNNNNNNNNNNNNNNNNNNNNNNNNNNNNNNNNNNNNNNNNNNNNNNNNNNNNNNNNNNNNNNNNNNNNNNNNNNNNNNNNNNNNNNNNNNNNNNNNNNNNNNNNNNNNNNNNNNNNNNNNNNNNNNNNNNNNNNNNNNNNNNNNNNNNNNNNNNNNNNNNNNNNNNNNNNNNNNNNNNNNNNNNNNNNNNNNNNNNNNNNNNNNNNNNNNNNNNNNNNNNNNNNNNNNNNNNNNNNNNNNNNNNNNNNNNNNNNNNNNNNNNNNNNNNNNNNNNNNNNNNNNNNNNNNNNNNNNNNNNNNNNNNNNNNNNNNNNNNNNNNNNNNNNNNNNNNNNNNNNNNNNNNNNNNNNNNNNNNNNNNNNNNNNNNNNNNNNNNNNNNNNNNNNNNNNNNNNNNNNNNNNNNNNNNNNNNNNNNNNNNNNNNNNNNNNNNNNNNNNNNNNNNNNNNNNNNNNNNNNNNNNNNNNNNNNNNNNNNNNNNNNNNNNNNNNNNNNNNNNNNNNNNNNNNNNNNNNNNNNNNNNNNNNNNNNNNNNNNNNNNNNNNNNNNNNNNNNNNNNNNNNNNNNNNNNNNNNNNNNNNNNNNNNNNNNNNNNNNNNNNNNNNNNNNNNNNNNNNNNNNNNNNNNNNNNNNNNNNNNNNNNNNNNNNNNNNNNNNNNNNNNNNNNNNNNNNNNNNNNNNNNNNNNNNNNNNNNNNNNNNNNNNNNNNNNNNNNNNNNNNNNNNNNNNNNNNNNNNNNNNNNNNNNNNNNNNNNNNNNNNNNNNNNNNNNNNNNNNNNNNNNNNNNNNNNNNNNNNNNNNNNNNNNNNNNNNNNNNNNNNNNNNNNNNNNNNNNNNNNNNNNNNNNNNNNNNNNNNNNNNNNNNNNNNNNNNNNNNNNNNNNNNNNNNNNNNNNNNNNNNNNNNNNNNNNNNNNNNNNNNNNNNNNNNNNNNNNNNNNNNNNNNNNNNNNNNNNNNNNNNNNNNNNNNNNNNNNNNNNNNNNNNNNNNNNNNNNNNNNNNNNNNNNNNNNNNNNNNNNNNNNNNNNNNNNNNNNNNNNNNNNNNNNNNNNNNNNNNNNNNNNNNNNNNNNNNNNNNNNNNNNNNNNNNNNNNNNNNNNNNNNNNNNNNNNNNNNNNNNNNNNNNNNNNNNNNNNNNNNNNNNNNNNNNNNNNNNNNNNNNNNNNNNNNNNNNNNNNNNNNNNNNNNNNNNNNNNNNNNNNNNNNNNNNNNNNNNNNNNNNNNNNNNNNUCUCUCUCUCUCUCUCUCUCUCUCUCUCUCUCUCUCUCUCUCUCUAUAUCUCUAUAUAUAUAUAUAUAUAUAUAUAUAUAUAUAUAUAUAUAUAUAUAUAUAUAUAUAUAUAUAUAUAUAGUCCGGCUGGGAUACUAUCGAUAGCACGAAGCAUUUUGUGCUACCAAGUUUUCUGCCGUUAGAUUACCUCUUUUAUCAUUUUUAACCGUUAGAAUAUACUAUUCAACUAACCACCCACUUAACCCUAGGGGUCCCACAUCAUCCUAACCGCACAUCUUUUAAUCCAAGGGCAGAAAACUUAAUAGCACCAUGUUAUUGGUGCUAUUAAUAGUAUUCCAGCCUAGUUCUCUCUCUCUCUCUCUCUCUCUCUCUCUCUCUCUCUCUCUCUCUCUCUCUCUCUAUAUAUAUAUAUAUAUAUAUAUAUAGUCCGGUUAUGGUGCUUGUAAAAGUACCAAACACUUGGUGCUUCCAAGUUUUCCGCCGUUAGAUCUAUCCUUUUCAUCAUUUUCACCUGUUAAAUCAUAUUAUUCAACCAACCAUCCACUCAACCCUAGGGGGCCCACAUCAUCCUAACCACACAUCUUUUAAUCCAAUGGCCAAAACUUGGUAGCACCAAUGACUUGGUGCUAUUAAUAGCAUAGAAAGAGAGAGAGAACACGACUACUAUGCUAUUAAUAGCACGAAGCACUUGGUGCUACCAAGUUUUCCGCCGUUAGAUCUAUCCUUUUCAUCAUUUUCACCUGUUAAAUCAUAUUAUUCAACCAACCAUCCACUCAACCCUAGGGGGCCCACAUCAUCCUAACCACACAUCUUUUAAUCCAAUGGCCAAAACUUGGUAGCACCAAUGACUUGGUGCUAUUAAUAGCAUAGUAAUAUAUAUAGAGUCCGGCUACUAUUCUAUUAAUAGCACGAAGCACUUGGUUCUUCCAAGUUUUCCGUCAUUAGAUCUACCCUUGUGAUCAUUUUCAUUCGUUAGAUCAUACUAUUCAACCAACCACCGACUCAACCCUAGGGGGCCCACAUCAGCCUAACCGCAUAUCUCUUAAUCCAAUAGCCAAAAACUUGGUAGCACCGAUGACUUGGUGCUAUUAAUAGUAUACUAGUGUAGAAACCCGCGCGAUGCAGCGGGUAGAUAAUGAAAUUCAAAAUUCAAAAUUUUAAAAAAUAAGAUUAUAGUUAGAAUUCUAAAUACUAAUUUUUCUAAAUUAUAAAAUUUUGAAUGAAAGUUAUAUGGCUCUAAAACAGCACUUAUUCUUCAAUAAAUGUGGUUAGAAACUUUAGAAUUUUAUCAAAUUCUAAAUUCAUAGUAUAUUAGUCUACUGUUAGGGAUUGAAAUGGGGCGGAUCCGGGGGCAGGGAGAGUGCCCCCAAUUCCUCCAUUUUUAUCUGGGCGGGGCGGAUUCGGGGUGGGUUACUUUUUUUUAUUUUUUGGCUUCCACUUACCGCUCCAUUCGGGGCAGAUCGGGACGGCCAGCGGGCGGGAUGCGGAUUUUUUAAUAGAUCGGGAGUGAUUGAGAAGAAAAGAGUCUCCCACUCCGCUCCAUUUACUUGGCGGAUCGGCGGAUUCGGCGCGGUAUAUUUUUCUAUAUUUUUUUUCCCACUUACCACCCAUUCAGGGCGCGGAUCGCGGGCGGAGCUCCCAACCUGGAUCCAUUUGCUCCCUACAUACUAUAAAGUUCAAAAUAAAAUAAGUCUAUUAUACAGAUAUUCUUAAAAUAUUAUAGAAAUUAAGUAUUGUGAUAGUUUUGCUGGAAAAUAUUCUUACUUCUCUUCUUUAUCGGAAUCGAAAACUGGAUUUAAAUGCAAAUAAGAGUACACAUUCAAGUUAUUUUCUAUUUAUAUCAAUAAAAUAUAAACUAUGCAUUGAAUGUUUUAAGGCAUAUUUUAAAACAUUUUAUGACAACAUAGUUGUAUAUUAUUUCUUAGAUCUUGUUUACCAGGUUAAGAUUUUGGAAAGGUGGCAUGAUAUAUGUUGUUUUGAUAUAUAAUAAUAAGUUUUAGAUGAAAGGACUUGAUAAUUAGAUAGAAAAGGUUAAGAAUUCAACAAAAAACUCCAAUUAUAUUUCAGAGAUGAUCAUGCACGUUUAAUUUAAGUGCAAUUUGUUAAAUUAGAUCAUUAGUUAAGUUUUAAUUUGUCUAUUAAGUUAUAUUUUGUUAUAAGUUGGAUUGAAUGAAGCUAAAUAAUUUAAGUUGAUUUGUGGAUAGAAAUAGCAUAAAAAAUAAAAGAAGGUUGUAGAUGUAGAUAAUCAUUGCAACAAACAAGCACUAUAAUAUGCAAAAUUAAAAUAAUUAUAAUUUCAAAUAAAUAAUUAAUAUGAGCAAUAUGUAAUUAUUUCAUAAAUCGGCUACCUCUAGGAACCUGCACAUCAAACAAAAGAUAGAGUUGUUGGCGCUGCGACCAUAGUAUUCAUAUUUGGGAGGGUACGAAAAUUUGCACAUAUUUUGCCAAAUAAACGCCGAAGUUGAUGUCGUAUUAACAGUUGAUGUCAUUUGCUGUCGAAGAAUACACGUAGGGCUUUUGUUUUACUUUUAACACGUGUUUUACUUUAAACACAUAUUCUAUUAAAUAAUAAAGGCAAGAAAAAUAUUUAAAAGUAAUAAAUUCUACUAAAGCAAAUCAUAAAUACAAAAUACAAAAACAAAGAAAGUCAAUUAAAUAAAAGACUUCUAAAUAAAACUAUAUAUAUAUAUAUAUAUAAUAUAUAUUAUAUAUAUAUAUAUAUAUAUAUAUAUAUUAUAUAUAUAUAUUAUAUAUAUAUAUGCAAAUUUACUCCAUUCAUAUGAUUUAGAAUUUUAGGGUGAUUUUCAUUAUUUUAAGUUAAUAUAUCAUAUUUUAAAAUUGAAAAGGUAAACCUACAAAUAUAAAAUCCGAUUUUAUUAAAAAAAAUAAAAAGUAGAGAUGAAGCCAGUUCAAUAAAAAUCGGUUUCGACACAAAAUAUAUAACAAAAAUAUGUCAAUUCAGUUCAAAAAAAUAAAUAGAAAGAAGAAGAGGUUCAAAAAAGAAUAAUUGAAAGAAGAGAAAAAAAAUCGAAUUCAAAGAAUAUACAUAACAAAAUAGACCAGUUCGGAUUAAAAAAAUUUAAAAAAAAUAAAAUAUGUAAAAAAAAACUUGUUGGUUCGGUUCAAAGAAUAAUAUAAUUGAAAGAAAAGAAAAAAAAAUUAGAAAAAUUCUAAACUAAGGAAGAAGUGCCACGUCAUCUUACACAUUGGGGAUUAAUAAUGACUCAUAUCAGGUUCACAUAUGACCCAACCAUACUAAGCCCAUUUGACCCUAACACACACACACAUAUAUAGGUAUGACUCACAUCAAAGUGACUAACACAAACCAUGCAAACUUAUGUGCAUGGGCCACCACUUUAACAGUUAAAAACACCAGACACCAUUUCUCGAUUCUAGUGGGAUGCUGGCCCUAGAGGGAUAGACGGCGGGGCCGGCGGCGGUGGCGGCGUCGACGGGUCGGAGGAAUCGUUUGUUGGAUCGCAGUAGCCGCGCAGUAUGUCUCCUUCUUGAGCGGUGAAGCCGAGGGACGCCAGCAAGACGUCAGUGGCCCAGCAGUGAUGCUCGAUGACGCGAAUGGCCCGGCAGCAGCUCGGGCCCAGGUACGUUUCGCUGUUGAGGAAGAAGAGGAUCACCUCUCCCGCGCAAGACCAGAGCUCCACCAGUGAGUCCCAGCAGUGCUUCAUGCCGUCCGACUGCAGGCGGGCCGAAAGGCCGAUCGGGUAAUUUAAUAAUUGUAGGGGGUUAAAUUACAUGGGGUAGAUGAAGGGGCAAAAAGAGUAUAAUUGAAAGAAAAAGAAAAAAAAAAAUUAGAAAAACCCUAAACUAAGGAGGAAGGACCACGUCAUCUGAAACACGGUUGCGAGGGAGGAUGCUGCAAGCAAGAUGAAAAUAGAUUGUUUGAAGAGAGAAGCCAUGAGAAACUUCAGUAGAGACACUUGUGAGUGAUCAUAUGAAUAAAUAGAUGUUCAUGAAAAUAUUCAUAUUUAUAGAGGUGGAAUCGAUUAAUAAAUAUGAAUAGGAAAAUGAAAAGUGAAAGGGCAUGCAUGCAUAUAUACGUUUUAAGGAAUGUAAGAAGGUCUCUUAGAUUGAGGUGUAAUAAUAAUUAAUCAAUUAAUGGUAGUGGGAGAAACAAAAUUAAGGGAUUUGUAACAUCUUAAUUAAUUAUUAAGGAAUGUGGAGGGUUUUUAAUUAGCUAGUGGGAAAAUUUGGGUCAUAUGUGGACUCGAGCCGGGUUAAGAUUUGGAUAGAGCCAGGUUAAUUUUGUUGAUUGGUUGUUGGAUUUGGGUCAAGUUAAAACCAACAAUAAGCCCUAACCUAGUGUUUGACUCUUGAAAAAGCGUGAAAAAUUAUUUUUAAAAAAUUUAUUUGUUUAUUUUUUCAUAAAAAACACAUUUCUCCAUAAUUUUUUAUUUCUCUGAUAAAAAAUUUAGAAAAGUAAAGUACUAUUUUUUAUGAAAUCUGAUAACGAAUAUGAAAAUAUAUUUUUUUUGUUAGAAUUUUUUUUCACAAAUAAUUUAUAGGAAAAAAUAAACACCUUCUUAAGAGAUUUAGUUAUUUAAUUAUGAGAUACUAUAUAAUGAAAUAGUUAGAUUAAUGGAGAAUAACUGUCAGAAGUAGAAAACCAUUAGUGAGAGUUGUAUUAUUCUUUGUAAGAUUGGAUGGUAUUGGAUUAAGGGAUUAGGUAACACGGGGGAUCAAAUCGAUAUAUGGAGCGGAUGCCUCGGUAUGAAUUGAGAAGAAGUAGAAAAAAAAAAUAGAAAAGUCAUUUAUAGCGGGUUUAUAAAAAAAAUAUAAAUUGUUGAAAGAUUAGAUAUUUUAAAAGGUGGUGUGUGAAGAGCAUUUUUUAGGUUUUAUUAAAUAAAGAUGAGAUUAUUUUAUUAAAAAAAUGAAAGGAGAAAAGUUAUACUUCGAGUAAAAAAAUUUUAGUUAAAAUAAUAUUGUAAUAAUGAUGAUAUUAUUUUAGUCUAGUAGUGUUUAUUUUAAAAAAAUCGUAAAAUAGAGGGUCUCGCAUGUAAGAUUAAUGAGAUGAAUUAUGUGAGACGGUUGAAGAAAUGCUUUUAAACGUGGUUUUCUUAAACCCUUAUAUCUAAGUAGUAUUUGUGAGGAUUUAGUGAGGAUUUUAAUGGAUGUUAAAGGAUCAUGAAAAUAUUGGAUAAGGAGAGAUGAUAAGGAUGAAGGAUUUCUUGCCACGUGGCAGAAAAGUUGUGCUUUCAUUUAGAGUUAUAGAUUAGACCUUAGUUCUCUUCUUCUUCGUCUUCUCUCUUCUCUUGUCUGAUUCUCUUCUCUCCUCUCUCUAUAGUAUAUAUAUAUAUAUAUAAAGUUGAGCUAUGAUACUUUCACAAGUAUCACCAUCAUGGUGCUAUUAGGUUUUAAACCAUUGGAUCUACUUUUUAAUUAUUAAUAGCCCUUGGAUUAAAUACUAUUCCACCUACCACCACCUACCACCAUCAUCUCAACCUCACAUCUCUCCAUCCAAGGGCUAAAAACACACAAGUAUCACCCCCAUGAUACUUUUACAAGUAUUCUAGCCCUACUCUAUAUAUAUAUAUAUAUAUAUAGUCAUAAGUUUAUAAGUAUAAGCCAUUUUGUACUCAUAAGUUUUCUGCCGUUAGAUCUACUCCUUUAACCAUUUUCACCCAUUAGAUCGUACUAUUCAACCAACUACCAACUCAACCCUAGGGUACCACUAUUAACCUAACCGGUGACCACUAUUAUCCUAAUCGCACAUCCCAUUAUCCAACGAUAAAGGUGUCCGUGGACCGGAUCCGGUAUGGAUAGUUGAUAUACUGUAUCCAUACCCUAAGAAAAAAUGGUUAGAAAAAAAAAUUCCCUGUCCAUUUAAUUUCGAAUUGAGUCCGGAUCUGAGCACUUAAGUUACUAAUAUAUCCAUCGGGUUUAUUUGAGCGGGUCUGGAUAGUGACUACCCAUAUACUAUCUGUUCAACAUCUGGUACGAGUUAAGUCUAAAUCGGGUACGGAUAUCCGUAUACAUAUUUUUUUUUAUAGACUUUAUUAAAUAGUCCGUGAACCAACUAUAAAUCUCCCCCUAUAAGAGAAUAUAAGUUAUAGUAAUUACUAAUAUUAUAUACUAACAUUUAAAAAAAAAGAGGAAAAAAUAAAGAGGAAUUAGAAAAUCUACUAAAUAGAAUAUUCAUUAAAAAAAACUAGGUUGUUGACUAUAAUUGGAGAAGAGAUUUGGAAGAAAAAAAACUCACCCGUACCAUGUCUAUAAAGAAUUAAUAUCGCUGAUGAUGACGACGAUGAAAAUAUUGUUUCAUAAAAAACUUUUAGACGAAAAUAAAACAAAAAAAUAAAGAGUAAAAAAAUUAGAAAAAAGAAAGGAAAGAGUAAAAAAUAAAGAGUAAAAAAAUUAGGAAAAAGAAAGGAGUAAAUGAGCGGUUAGAGUUUCAUAGUUUCACUAAGAUAAAAAUACUUAGAGAUCCCUCGUCUAUAAAUUCUAUUAAAAUUUAUCUCUCAACUUCAAAAGUUCAAAUCUAUAUAUUUUAUUUACUAUCGGAUAUUUCAUUGCGUCUGGAUUCGGGUCCGAAUUUAAAAGCUAUUUCGGACCCUACCUAUUUAAAAGUUGGAUUCGGGUCAGGUCCAAAUUCAAUAUGGGUAAUAAAAUAUCCGGAUCCAUACCCGAAACUUUAAUGAAAAUUUUUUUUUACCCGUAUACUAUUCAUUUUUUAUCAGGUCUGAUUCAGGCCCGGAUAGGGUCCGGGUAGGAUCCGGGUCGGGUAUGAUACAUCGGAUAUUUUGGACAGCUUUACAAACGGACUCCGUUAUCACCCAUUUGGUUUCGAUGAUGGAGCCUCCAAAUCGACGAUCAACGCUAUUGAACAUGAUCUAUACCACUUGAACCAUCUAGAAACCAAAUUUCAUACUUUUACGAUAUUGUUCUCUUGUCCAUCAAGUAGACACAAAAUGAACUGCGGACAAUGAAUAUCCUCUAGAAAGUGAUGAUAGAAGUCUUGUAAUCGAGAUCGAGAGUAUAGGUUUUAUUCUAAAUAGUUUAAAAAAUUUUCUAACCAAAAUUCAAUUGAUUUGAAUAUCUUUGCGCCGUUAAACUAGAAAACGCUUCAUAUCAACUAUUAAAAUUACAAAUUUUGAAACUCUUUGAUCAUUAGAUCAAUGAUGUCGAAAAGAUUUGAAAUUUAGUUUCUAAAUACUUUAAGUGGUAUAGAUUGUGUUCAACGGUGUCGAUCGUUGAUUUGGAAGCUCCAUCAACGAAAAUAAAUAGAUGGCAAUGAAGCUCAUUACUUAUCGAUAGUAUUCCAGCUCAACUACAUGUUUAUAUAUAAUUUUUUAUACUAAAUAUUUAUAGGUAGAUACAUGGAAUUUUUUUUCUUUUAAAUUUAAAGCGCCUCUACUGCCCUCCUUGUUUCUCUCUACAACAGUCAAACACCCACUAUCUAGGCUGUCUCACACCGCUCCGCUCCCAACCACCCACCCAGACCACAAGGCCAACCCCCCAACCCCUAUCUAAAUCCAAACCAAAUUGUUUCCCUUGAGAGCACAUGCACGCUCAUAUCCCCCACGACCACGAAGCCUCUUCCCUUCUCAUUAUAUACAUGCAAGCAACCCAUUAAGUAUCAAAACAGACCCCUCUAUACCAUCCUAUCCUAAUCGCUUCACCCCUCUCUCUCUCUCUCUCUCUCUCUCAACACAAUGGAGAUUGCCCACAAAGACUACCUCCUCUCCUUUCUCCUCCAACUCCUCAACCUCCUCACACUCCUCGUAUGUCUCUCCAUCGAGACCUUCAUCUUCGUCCACAAAUGCAACCCUUGGUACCACCUCCUCCCCAUUUCUCUCACCCUUCUUCUCCGCCGCGCUCUCGCGACCAGGAAACAGACCUAUCUUCUCGACUUCUCGUGCCUCAAACCCCCGCGGCGGUACCGCGUGCCAAUCGCGGGGCUUCUGGAGCACCUCUCACUCAUCAACUGCUUCGACGCCGACAGUGUCGCCUUCAUGACCAAAGUCAUCACCUCCUCCGGCAUGGGCAACGAGACCUACUUCCCCCCUUCCUUGCAUUACAUCCCGCCCUCCGCGACGCACCUCGACGCCAUGAGGGAGGUGCACAUGCUCCUCUUCCCCACCCUCGACGACCUCUUCGCCAAGACCCGCGUGCGCCCUCUCGACGUCGACGCGCUCGUCAUCAACUGCAGCGGGUUUUGCCCCUCGCCUUCGCUGUCGGCCAUCGUCGUCAACCGCUACGGCAUGCGGCACGACGUCAGGUCCUUCAACCUCUCCGGCAUGGGGUGCUCCGCGGGAGUCGUCGGCGUGGACGUGGCCAGAACUCUGCUCAGCAAUAUAAACAGGAGGUCCUACGUACCUCUAUACGUGCAUGCCGUGCCGUGCAUGCAACCAAUCCAUUCCUUUAAUUCUUUACAAAUAUUGAAGCUGCCGAUCGACGAAGAAAUUAAUUGGGCGACUUAUAAUUAGUUCCUAAUAAGUAUAUAUAUCGAUCUUUUAUUUAUUUUUAUUUAUAUAUAUAUAUAUUCAACUGCAUGCAGGUCGUACGCGAUCGUGAUGAGCACGGAGAUCGUGUCGACGGGGUGGUACAACGGGACGGACCCGCGGAAGCUGGUGCUGAACUGCUUCUUCCGGAUGGGGUGCUCGGCGGCGCUCGUCACCAACCGCGGGAAUAAGGCGGCGGCGGGGGCGGCAGGAGGGAGGCCUGCCAAGUACCGGCUUGCGCGGCUGCUGCGGACGCACGGGGCGCAGGAGGACCGCGCGUACCGGUCGGCGUCGCGGGAGGAGGACGCCGAGGGGAUCACCGGAUUCUCGGUGGAGCGCGACCUCAUGCGCGUCGCCGCCGAGUUGCUGCGCCGGCACGCGGCCGCUGUCGCCGUGUCGAUACUCCCCUGGCACGAGAAGCUGCGGUACGCCGCCGCCUACCUGCGGAAGAAGGCCGGCCGCUCCUCCGCCUGUGGCGCCUCCGAGCAGGCGCCGGCUGCUGCUGCUGCUGCUUUUUCGGCCGCGGCCGAAGAUCUCGUGCCGGACUUCCGCGCUGCAGUCAACCACUUCUGCCUGCCGGCGUCGGGGAAGCCAAUGAUCAAGAAGAUGGGUACGUACGCACGCAUAUUCAUACAUAAACAUAAUAAAUUAAGUAGCUUCUUUUUUCUUAUCUUUUCUUCUCUUCUCUCUAAUUAUUUAAGUUGUGUUACUUGCGUAAGUACUCUCAGAACUUUUUGAUAGUUAGCUAGGCCAAAAACUUAAUUUUGGCCCUACUGCAUAUUAUUUUAGUAAAAGCGUUAUCCUGUCGGUGGACCAUAUUGGUUAGACUAUUUAAAUCUUUACAGCUUUAAUUUUAUUAUUUUAUUUUUUUAAUUUAUUUGACUUCAGUCUCUCCAUCAAUGUUAUUUUGACUUAAAAAUUUGAAUCAAUUCAUUUAGUUUAGAGUUAGUUUUUUUGAUUAAUUAAAUAUAACUACCUUACAAACAUAUUAAAUAGCGAAUAUAUUUCUAUAAAAUUCAAUUUUUCAUAUGGAUCUGCUAAAAGAAUAUAGUUCACCAUAGCUAAAAGACUUCGCCAUGGUUAGUGAAUGAGGUAAAUUUAUCUUUUUAUCCCUCUUAUAUUAUUUUUUAUAGUAGAAAUUAAAGAACAAGAUAACCAUUGAAAAUUUUUAAAAGAAUAUUUUUGCGUAAUUCUAACGGCUGAAAUUUUUAGAGAGACAUAUUUAUAAUAGCAAAAAUAUCAUUUCACUUAUUCUCUGUUAACAAAUAAAUAGUACUCUAACGUAACAAACUAGAGAAACAAAUAUAAAUAUCACCGGACGUUUACAGAAAGAAAUAAAGAUGAACUUUGUUGUAAUAUAUAUUUGGUAUUCGAUAUAUUAAUAGGAAGUUGUAUGAAAUUAACUUUUUUCUCGUAUAAUUUUUAUUUCUAUAAAUUUGUAAAAAUAAAUUUAUUAACUUAAAAUUUGAAGUUAAAAUACAGUUAGCUAACUCAAAUCACACAAAUUAAAAAAAUUUUUAUAAAAUAAAAAUUUUGAAAGAUCGAAUAAUCAGUUUAAAAUAGUCUGAAGUUCGGAUAAGUUCUAUACGUACGUCCUAUAUAACCUAUUAUUUAUAAAAUUAAUUAAUAAUGUGCAUUCAAAUAAAUGCUUUGAAAAAAAGUAUUAUACAAAAAUUCUUUCAAGAGGUUUGAGCUUUUGUUUUUAUUUUCUCGAAAACACUUAAUUAAAUUAAAUUUGAGCUUUUCUUUUUGUUGAGCUUGAUAACCUUGUUUUUACUAAACACUGUAAAAGAAAAAAAAAAAAAAAAAAAAAAAAAAAAAAAAAAAAAAAAAAGUUGAGAGACCUACUUCACAAUCGAUUAUGCUUGAGGGUUGUUGAUGCAAUUUUACGUAUUUAAAAGGAACAGCGACAGAUCUACGGCAGUUGCGCAGAUAAUGUACGGGGCACUAUAGUUUGGCAGAUACAAAAUUAUUCCCAGCACCCAACUCUUCCGUACGUGGGUGCACCACUCCUCAUUUACUGUCCAUUACUAUUGGUGGUGUACGAAAGUAUGGGUACACCGGGUGCAGGAAAUAAUUUCUCUCCUGCGGUUUGGUGUCCGUGCGAUGUUGUAUUUAAUUACAUAGUGCGCCUAAUUGAUUGGGGACGUGUUAUUUAUUUCUCGGUCGCGUAUUCAUUCGGUGGUUGGGUCCCAAAGGAACAAACUUUAGAGAAUUUAUUAUAUGUGUGGCUUAUUUAAUUGUUCCGGAAAUACAACGCAUUUAAUUUGUUGUUUAUUUAUAUGUCUAGGCCCAGAAUGUAAAUGACAUGCAUGCGUCGUGGCAUGGUUUUAAUGUAACAGCUGUUUUUUUUUUUUUUUUCCUUUUUUAAUUUUUGCUUUCUUUAAGUUUGUCUCCGAGCCCCUGACCCGCAGAUAACCACCCUCCUCUCUGGAAAACAAAAUUUUGUUUUUUCCUUUCAUGUCGGAAGCUGAGGAUAGAGGUGUCAACUGUCGGAUUCGGAGUGGAUUUUCAAAUAUUCGAAUCCGAAUCAGACUUCAAACCCGAGAUCCGAACUUAAAUUCGAAUCCAACGAAUUUUAAAAAUUCAUAUCCAAAUUCGAACCCGACUAAAAAUUCAAAUCCAAAUCCAAACCCAAGUCCAAACCAAAAAAUUUGAAUUCAAAAUUAUUAUUUCUUUUUUCAAUAUUUCAAAAUAUAUUAUAUUAAAUCUAAAUUUUUAAAAAACAAAUUCAAAUAUGACAUCAAAUAUAUAUAUAUAUAUAUAUAUAUAUAUAUAUAUAUAUAGAGAGAGAGAGAGAGAGAGAGGAGAGUUGAGCUUAGAAUACUUGUAAAAGUAUUAUGUGAGUGGUGUUUUCGAGUUUUUAGCCAUUGGAUGAGGAGAUGUGAGGUUAAGAUGAGGUGUAGUGGUGGUAGGUGGAAUAGUGUUUGAUCCAAAACAUUAGUAAAUAGAGGAGUAAUCCAAUGCGUAAAACCUAAUAAUCAUGGGGUAAUACUUAUAAAAGUUAUUCUACUCAUUUAUAUAUAUAUAGAUUGAGCUAGAAUAACUUUUUAUAAGUAUUACCCCCAUGAUGCUAUUAGGUUUUUAGCUCAUUGGAUCUACUCCUUGAUUACUAAUAGUCCUUGAUCAACACUAUUCACCUACCACCACCUACCACCACCUACCACCAUCAUCUCAACCUCACAUCUAUUCAUCCAAUGGCUAAAAAAAAAGCACCACUCACAUAAUACUUUUACAAGUAUUACUAGCUCAACUCUAUAUAAUAUAUAUAUAUAUAAUAUAUAUAUUACAAUAAAUCUUCGGUUCGGGUCGGGUAUAGUCAAAAUCCUUAUCCUCGGGUUUCUAUGUUUUAAUAUUCAUAUCCGAAUCAUAUCAACUUAUAUCGAUAUAUCCAUUUCAUUUGUUUCAGAUUCGGAUAAAUUUCGGAUAUUUAUACCCAUUACGAUCCGAGCUGUGGCACUCGAUAUAUAUAUAAUUUGAAAAAUAACCGAUUUACCAUCUAUUUUUUUUUUUUUUAAAUGCCUCUCAAUAUGUUCCACAGGCCGUUAUUGUAAAUACUCGGCAGCUUCUCAUGUUAAGUUAACUUGGAUUAAACGUAAAUUAAAUAUCUACCAUAAUUAAAAAAAAUUAAAAUGCUAAUUUUGCCCUUAACUUAAUAGCAAAUAAGAAUGUUAGUGACGGUAGAGGAUAUAUUUUGAAACAGACCAAAAGUCAAAAAUACUUUUUUGUGUCCUCGAUUUAAGGCAAAUAAGAAAGUCGGUGAUGAUGAAGGUAUAUUUGAAAGGACAAAAUAUUUUCAAUAUUACCUUCUAAGAGGGGUAAAGGAAAGUCGAAAUUUUUCAGGAUAUAUAAGCAAUGCCCCAUACUAUAUAUAUAAAUAUAUAGUAUAUAUAUAGUAUAUAUAUAUAUAUACAUGGCUGUCUGAUCUGUCACAUGGCGCGAUCGUAAUAUCCCCAACAAACUAGUUUGGAGACUAUGCUCUAAUAUUUGUCCGAUGCACACUAUCAUUCAUCCGUUUCACAUGUACUUAAAAGAUUACUUUUUUAUUUUCUUAUUAAAGCCGCAAUAAAAGUUUGUUUUUAUUUAUAAAAGGAUGAUUUGAUGACAUUCUCUACAACCAAUAAAAGUAAACAAUUCACAAUUAUUAUGAAAAUUAAAUAUAAUUAAAUUAUGUUAGUAGGCUAUCUUAUCGUACUGAAAAAAAUACACAAAUAAUUAAGGUAUAAAAGGAAUGAACAAUUUUUAAAAAAAAGAACAAGAAUAUGUAAAAGUCAAAACCUAAUGUGUAAUUAAUUAGUAAGAUAUAUGAUACAUCAUGAAUCGAAACAGUAAGAUAAAAUAUAUUCUUUUUGAUUUGUAAAAUUAAAAUAGGCCACUAAAGUUUAUAAUUUAAUAUAUAGGCAUUCUUAAUAUUACAAAGUGCAUCCGAUAAAUUAGAUAUUGAUUUAGAAGUACAGUGCAUUUUUAUAUAUAUACUUAUGCACCAAGUGCAGUAAUUCUUUCUUAACUAGAUACAACUAGCUUCUCUAAUUGGGCCGAGGAAAACUACAGCCUGUAACAAAAGCAGGUGACAGCAUAGUCAGAUUUAGAUAUUUAAUGAUGAAUGGAGAGAUAGGCCCUUAAUAUAACUGCUGUCUUUUUUUUCUUUUUUUUUUUUUUUUAUAUAAUAUUUAUUUAAUUACUAUGUUAGAUAAGGCUUUUUUUUUUUUUUUUUGAGUGAACUUUAAUUUGCCUCAUGUACAUGAGCGUUUUUUUUUUUUUUUGUUACCAAUAGUUUUAAAAUAUCAUACUUAAUUAUUAGUAUUAUUAUUAUAUAUUUUAAGAACCUACCGCGAACGUGACCAUCUUAGAGCCACGGCAAAAGACUUGAUGGUGAUAUUCGAGACCUCAAUUUUGACUCGCUAGUUGAUUCACAUUUAGCUAGAGCUUUAUUUUAUUUCUAAAUGAAAUAAAAAUGAAGCGGUAGCGUGCUACCUAUGCUCUCAUCAAAAAAAAAAAAAAAAAAAAAAAAACCUAUCGCCAAGUAGGGUAGUAUAAUUAAAUUUGUUAGAAGCAACUUCAAACUUACCCCUUAAGCGUUUGAUUCGGGGAUAAAAUGGGGAUUAACCCCAAACGGAAACUUUUGGGGGUGGGGUUUGUUAACCCCACCCUUAACGGUUAUACCAUAAACACUACAAUCCUAGACUGUAAAUCCUAAAGCGCCCUAUGGGAAAAACGGGCAGAAAACCAAAUUUUCAACGAAGUUAAUUCAUAAGAAUAAUUUGGGCAGCUUCCUAAAUUAAAAGGUUAGUUUUGAUAUUGAUAAUUUUUCCGGAGAAUCUAUAAAAUUAGGAGUAGAUGGAAGCAUACUAAAAAAAUUAACCUAUUUUUUAAAAAACUGUAAGGUGGCACACCAUUUAAUAAUAAGGCCUUACAGUAAAGUAAACAUAAAAUUAGAGGAUAAUUAGGUGUCACCUUUCAACCCAUAGAGUGCCAAAGUAAAAAAUAUGUUAUAUCAUAUGAUAGUUGAGUUCGUUAAUUUGAGCAACGGAAUCGAAAUGUGAAAAUGCGCUAUACCAUAGGCAGACAAAUUAAAAUUUAGUUUUUUUAAAGAGUAAUACUAUACAUACACUUCAAAAGAGAUGUAUGAUAUACAUUGCACCCACUAGUUGCAUUAAUUGAUGUGACUAGUAGAGGCCACCCCACCCUAAAAAAUUUAAGUUGGAACAAUUGCUUAUAUACCUUUGAAAAGCUUUAGGUUUUCUUAUUUACUCCACUUAUAACGUUAUAUGAGAUAUAUCCUUCUAGUGUUCAAAGUUAUUUCAAUUAUACUCCUUGAGAGUUUGAUUCUGUUAGUGAACUUUAGGAACAACCAUUAUGUGAUAUACUGAAGCUUAGCAAAUUGGCAAGAUUACAGUAUAAAUUUAUGCUUGAUUGAGUUGAAGACGUUUGAUGCAAAAUAGACGCAAAAUGGACUUUGAAACUCAAGAUUUAAGUUAUAGAGGACGAAAGUUGAAAUACUUUACUUUGGAGGGGCAUUUUGUCAUUUUUGCUAUAUUAGGCGGUGGCACUACAACAAAAACAGUCUAUAGCGAUACUUUUAAAUGUAGGUACAUGUCAAAAAAGUGCUGCUAACUAAAAUUACCGACACUUUUAAAAAGUGUUGCUAUAUGUGGGAUCGCUAGGUAUAUAGUGGCAGUUAAAGAGUGUCGCUAUAACCUAAAAGAGUGCUGCUAAUUUACCAACACUUAUUUAAGCAUUUAGCAACCGCCGAAACUCUAUCUCGUUGGCUGCGGUGGCGGAGGAGGACGACAGAAAAGGCUCUUCGUCUAGAAUUUCAGUGGAUUGAGUGAAGAGGGAAAAAAAGAUGGUAAUUGAUUUUUCUUUUCUUUUUUUUUUUCUGUUUGUAAUCGGGCCAAAUGGACUAGGUGUGGUGGGUUGAGUAGAGUAAUCUUUUAUUUUUGGUUGGAUUGGGCUUUAUAUUUAGGCAUUAGUAGAUGUUUUUUUAAGUUUUAGCAUAAAUGGGACACUUACUCAAAAGUGUCCCAAACAUGUGUCCCUAUAACCUAAUUCUGUUGUAGUGUGGGCUCCACAUAGACCUCAGCCUUAUAAUUUACAUCUUUGGUUAAAGAUGGUUAAGUAAUAGGGAGAUAGAGAGAAAGAGAGAUUGAGCACCAAAAAAAAUAGAGGAGAGACAGCUUUGUUUCGUUCUAGCGAGCGAACGAGUCGAGUGUGCGCACAUAUAUUUUUGGUGUUUCGACGUCGCAGUUAGUAUUGUAAUAUUAUUAUUUUUUCAUUUAGAUUCUUUUGAUAGAUUUUUAUAAAAAUUGAGAGUUAAAAACUAAUUUUUUAUACGUUUUAGGAGCUGAUUUCGUGGCUGUCGUUCAGACUAGGAGAGCUGUAGCAUAUCAUCUAACUAUUUCGACUGUCGUCCAAUUUCUUGGAUUUGUGAUAUAAGUGGGUUCCGUAUUGUCAAAAUUUGUGGGGACUAAUUCCGAUAUCCACAUUAUUUUAUUUGUCCUGUGAGAUAAAUUGUUGACGUAGUUGAGAUAAUAGUGAUAGUUUGACAUUUGCCAGUAGAAUAAAUUGAUAUAUAUAUAUAUAUAUAUAGUCCGUCUCCCCUACUUUCGAAAGUACGGGAGGCCCCGUGCUUGUAAGUUGUUUUCGAUAAUAGGACGUUCGAUUCGACGAUCGGCUUCGUUAGGUAUGAUCUACCCUAUUGGAACUAUCUAGAAACCAAAUUUUAGAUUUUUUUGACAUCAUUUACUAAGCGAUCAAAAGGUCUAAAAAAUGACUAUUUUAACGGUUGAUGUGGCACAUUUUUAAGUUCAACGGUGUAGAAGUAUCCAAAUUACAUGAAAAUUUAAUAAAAAAUUCUACUUAACAUCAGUAGCAAGAUCAAUACUUUCGAUUUAAAAUUUGAAUCCUUUAUCACUGUGUUUUAUGAGAUUUUCAUUUUCAGCCGUUCAUUUUGAGGCUACUCGUUCACUAGACAAACGAAAUCAAAAAAUUAUGAAAUUUGGUUUCUAGAUAGUUCCAAUAGCGUAGAUCAAGUUUAACGGAACUGAUUGCCGAAUCGGAUGUCCCAUCAUCGAAAACAACUUACAAGUACGGGGCCUCCCGUACUUUCGAAAGCAUAGGAGCCUAGCUCUAUAUACAUAUAUAAUUGAGCUCCUAUGCUUUUAAAAGUACCAAAUUAUUGGUGCUUGUAGAUUUUUAGCCAUUGGAUUAAGAGAUAUGCGGUUGGGAUGAUGUGGGCCCCCUAGGGUUGAGUGGGUGGUUGGUUGAAUAGUAUAAUCUAAUAGUUGAAAAUGAUCCGAGGAGUAGAUCUAACAGUAAAAAAAACUUACAAGCACCAAGUGCUUGGUGCUUUUACAAGCACCAUAGCUGGACUCUAUAUAUAUAUCUGUGUGUGUGUGUGUGUGUGUGUGUGUGUGUGUGUGUGAGAUAUUUUCUAAAGGUCAAUAAAUAGUGACAGAUAGUGUGAGAUUAUAACUGUAUUUUGGACACUAUGACAAUAUAUCAUAAUCUGUUUAAUCAUCACAUUUAACCAUAGGCUGCAUGCUAUGUUGAGGUUGACAGUGAUACUAUACUCAGUUGGGGUAGCACCUCGCGAGUGCCACUCCGUUGGGCUAUGAGAUAUUAUUAUGGCAUGGGUCAGACAGUAGCUUUGUGGUAUCGCACCACUAUAGGUGAGUGCUGGACACGAGGCGGUGCAUGCUAGACCUGACUGUUGAGUCGGUCACUAUGAUUCGGUAUUAGUGUAGUAUUUUAUUUUGUCUCUAAUUGAUGCAUGGAAAACAUAAUUUACAAUUUCAGCUAUAUUGUAAAGGCAUGAUAGUAGCAAUUAUUUUCAGCAAUUAUUCAUAUUAGUAUCGUUCUUUCAUAUUGCUCAGUUAUUUACUAUUUUUGCCUCUUAUGAACCUAGUGGUGCAGAUCGUCGGCGUUGACGAUCAUACCCACUGGGAACUAUUGAUAAUAGUUCUCAUACCCUUUUUAUUAAUAUUUUAUUUUAGAACCUUCUGCACCAGCGGCUGAUCGAGUUAAGGAGAUUGCGGAUAGUUAGUAUCUCCUACUCUUUUUGUGUAUGUAGUUGAACUACCUAUCAGUGUAUAUUAUAGCAGCCUCUACAGUGCUUUGAGGUUUGGAGUGGUCAGAGGUGUUGUAUAAUUUUGAGAACUAGUAUGGGUAUGAUUGUAUAUCUUUAGAGUGUUGCUAUAGUAUAUAGCUUUUACUUUACUUUGAUGCCUACUGUUAUUAGAUUUUAAUUAAUUUUGAUGAACAAAUUUUUUUGACGCUUCAUAUGUAUAAGGCGGAUUUGCUGACGUAACCUGGGCUUCCGCCGUAAUCCGGGUCGUGACAGAUUAAGUUGGUAUUAGAUAUUAGCCUAGUGGCCCUAAUCUUUUAUUAGAUUUUGAUGAUAACAAAUAAUUACGAUUAUUAAACUAAUUCUUUAUCUUGAGUUUUUGUGUUUUAGAUCUUUAUAUCUUCAAAAAGGACUCAAGAUAGGUAAUCUUCUAGCACCGAGCCUCACCACUUGAAGCUAUAUCUGCUUUCUUUGUCAAAAAGACAAACUCACUCUCUCUAUUCUUUAUUUGAUGCUCUAUUAGAGUGAGAAAUUUUGAGCUAANNNNNNNNNNNNNNNNNNNNNNNNNNNNNNNNNNNNNNNNNNNNNNNNNNNNNNNNNNNNNNNNNNNNNNNNNNNNNNNNNNNNNNNNNNNNNNNNNNNNACCCAGCGAGCAUGAGGCAUCCUCUAGACUCAGACACGUCGGUAGGGCUCUAACUUCGGCGACGUUCGCGAUCCCUUGCUCGAUCCUGAUCCGCCGGACGGUGCUGCAGCCGAACCUGUGGCUCUUGCAAAAACAUAGUAGCAACCGGGGCGUGAGAACUUACUAUAAAACAAGUAGUCGCUCAGGGUACGCCAAAACAAGCACGGUCACCCACUAAGUCUACAAGAAGGGAGCGAAGGUAGAAGGAAAGCAGGAAGCAUACUCUACGUAUCAUCCACUACACUAUCUAUGCUCUUACACUAACCAACUGUAUGGAAUGUCGAAUCUGACCCAAUCAAUCGGGACUGUAGAAACAUACCCGUCGGGGACUGUGAAUUCCCCGUCCUGCCUCCCGUUGCGACUAAUCCAGCUCUAUCCACACUACAUGGUGCCGUGAGACACAGUCAACUGGUAACCAAUGAGCGACCACCGAACGCCAAAAGCACAAGCGCCAACUCCGGAGUCGGAUCGUGGGCGCUACCGCACCGAGUAUGCGCGUAUCUCUGUGGCCAAUCAGGCUCCAACUACGCGCAAAAGUCAAGUAAUCGAUCAAACUGGUCUAAAAUCACACAGGUAACUGUGCGCUGCACAAUCAGACGCCGAAAAGGCGAUACCGGGUCACCGUCAACCUCUGACGGCAACCCAAAGUCCGAAACGACCUGAUUCAGACCCCGGCUGUAAAAUCAUUCGGGAACCAGCACGAGUGUAAAUACAUUCUCACUACCUGGAGUACGGUCGCUCGAAGGAACUGCGACAGUGAACAGAUUUCUAACGUACGCUCCUAGAGCCUAAAAUCAGGUAAGUUAAACUGGUGACCAGGUCCAAAUCGGCAAGGUUUUCUCUAAUUCAAUUCCAAAGUCCAACAUAUAUAAACUAAUUAAUUAAAGCAUGGCUCAAACAUUCAGUUCUGCGACAUUCAAGCCACAUAAGUCCAUGAAUUUGAGGCUAAACUAAAUUACCAAAAAUUCAAAGAUCUAUACCAUGUCAGACGAUUAUGAACUUAGGAGUACGAAACCGGAUGUAACCCACCCCCCUCAAGUGUACUUUCUGGCAGCGACUCAGCCUCGGCCACCCGCGAUCUGCUGGAUUUCCUCAGGGACACACUAGACCGGUCGCUUCGCACUAAAAACGACAAAACACUCACAAAUCAGCCUAAGUUCACAGCAGCUGAAUAGAGAACAGUUCGACCACACAGCCUAACCUCGUCCAAAAAUUGCAAGUGAGGCUUCUGAUGGAAUCACUGCAGUCUAGAAUCCAAUGAACCACAGUUUUGCGUCGCCGAUCCGACGCUCCUGACGCGGAGAACGAGCGAAAUACUAACAGUCGAUGGUAGAAUUCUUGGCGAAAACAGACUUUAAGCUCACAUCAACGUGCCCGUAGUACUCGAGGCAUAUUGCGCCAAAAUGCUCACACUCAACAGCGACAACCCUCGCGCGAGUCGGAGGACACGAAGACGCACGUCGCCCGGCCUCCUCGCUAAUGCCGGCAACAAACGUCAGCUCGAACGGCUCGGGCGGCGACGUCGGGCGAAUCCGCCCCGGCUCAACCGUGCUCCACCUCCACCAAGCUAGAGAGAGAGAGAAAGAAGAAGCUACUAAAGCCUUCUCUCUCUUCCUCUGUUCGGCUUUGACUGAUAUAAGAGGAAGGGAAGGAAUCGUUACAAACGUAGUAGAAAAUUAGCGGAUUUAGGACCAUUACACUCCCUGUACUCGGUACCGGAUUGCUGUACGCGGUACAAGGCCAAACCCGAGACAGCAACUGAGUUCUGUCGGCUGCGCGUCUGUACCGGAUACUAAAUGGACCUUGUAGCGGUACCACACAAGGCGACUUCCCAUGAAAGUGUUGUACCGGUACAGCACAAACCUUGUACCGUAAGGAGUAAAAAUCCUGCAAUUUUCCAAUUUUCACGAACAGAUAUGCGCCUCUUAUACCGGUGCUACGGGUGGCACGGAGUCCGCUCCGCGUCUAUUUGACGCCAACUAGCGACUCGGGCUUGUCUCGACAGCUCCCAGAGUUGUCGAUCAAGUCCCCCACUGACAGACCGGUCUUCACAGAAAGAAAGUGAAAAGUUUUUUUAGAGGUGAGGUAUUUUUGUUGUUGUUUGUUAUUAAUUCGUUAUCUGUAUUUUUUAUCUGUGUAAUACUUAAAUUUUUUUUAAACUUAUCUAAUAUUUUUUUUUAUUUUUUAAUGUUCUUUUUAGUUCUUUUAAAAAAUUUAUCACAAGAUGUGGAGAAAAAGUUGAGCUUGGGGUGAUAUAACCAGAUGGUGCUUAUCUGACUGUUUCGAUCCUUGUCGACGUGGCUCUGGCGAAUGAAACAGUAAAAUUUUCUACCCUCUUCUACCUUAUAUUUGAUAUUUAAAUAAAAAUAUUCUUUAUUUAAAAUAUAAAAGUAAAUUAUAUAAAAUAUAUAAUUUAUAUUUAUUUCUCGUUAUAUAUUUUGCAUUUUAUUUGUUAUGUAUUUACAUUUUAUUUGUUUUUAAAUUGUUUAGGUGGCCGGUUCCGAGGGCUCGUCAAAUCACAAAACAAGACGGCAGGGAUAAAAUAACAGUAUCAUUAUGUGGCGAGAUGGAGAUGGACUUUUUUUAUUUUUGUUCACUUUAUGGACUUUUAGUAUAAAUUCUUUUUUAUUUAAAAAUAUUAUGAUUUUAUGUUUUCUGAUUAUAUUUGGUAUGUUAUUUAAUGACUCCGCCGUUUAUUAUUUUAAGUUUGCUUGGAUAUUUGAUGUGUCGGAAAUGUUUAAAAUUAGGUAGGAUUACUUGGUGAUUUUUUUAAUUCUAAUUGUAUGGUAAUGUUCCUUAUCUAAUUUUGUUAAUAAUAAUACCACUAUAAAUAUUUAAAUAGUUUAUUAAUAUGAAUAUUAAUAUUUUCUUGGAGCUAUAGUUUGGAGCGUAGGUGUUUAUCUAUCAUGUUGGGCUGGAAUUUUUUAAUCUGGCAGGCUCUAUCAGUUGGGUUUAAUUCUUUGUCAUAUAAAUUUUUUAAAUUUGUUUGAAAUAAUAUGAGAUUAAAAUCUUAUUAUGUUAAUUGAUAUUUUUAGGAGUAAUAUGUCGUAUCCUUAUCCUAUGCUAUAGGCAUGACACGUCCCACAUGGAGCUAUGCCAUGCCAAUAUGCUUAUUCAUCGAGGGUCUGCAGCCAUCUGCUCCUUAAUUAACUUUGCAUUUUCUCUCUCUCUCCUAGACCGAGUGUGCGCAAGGUGAGUCGGGUGAGUUCGUCGCGACUGUGUGGGCUCCGCGUGAGCCGUUCGAGCGCAAGCGUUUUGUCGUAUUGGUGCUGUGAGGAGCUGGGCGGGCGGGUGGAUUUCCGUCGUCUCGACUUUGCGCCACUUCUUGAGGAUCUAUGAGAGUGAGUGGCUCUGUGAAUUGCUGCGCAUACUUCGGAUAUUCAGUCAAUUCGAACUAAGUACUGAUUCGGCAGGAUCUGUCGUCGGACUUGUUAGUAUUCCAGCUCGUACGCGACGUAGGAGCAUACGGAUUUCGACGAGAUUUGGUUCGUUGAAACCGGAGAUUCGAACGAAUCCAUAGGAUCCUUACUCGCCCGAUUUGGAGAAGAGUUUGCUCUGUCGAAAUCCCUUUUUACUGACGUUACGUGUUUGCCGAGCAGAUUUCAGAGAUGCUGUUUCGCAGUUCCAGCUGUCGACGUUUCGUAUUCUGGCCGUUCUCUGCGUAGGAGCGUCGGAAGUCAGCGAAACCUGGACCAUUGGAUUCGUGACUUUGAGAACGAAGACUUCGAACCCUUGUUUGCUGAAUUUGGAUAAGGUUAGCUUGGUCGGAUUUAAUGCUUUCUUCGCUGCUGUUUUCUGGGCAGAUUUGCGUGAUUUUGAGUGUAAUUGAUGUUUACUUCUUCGCAGCAGGAGAACGGGACUUCGACAGACCAGCGAGGGAUCAUUUUUGGAUCCGGCGCCCUUCUUCGCUGCCAGGAGUUGCUUGAGAGGUGGUUACAUCGGUUUUUACUCCUAAGUUCAUAUUCUGUCGGCAUGUAUAAUUUUCGACUGUUGAUACUCUAUUCUAGCUCGAAUUCAUGCCGACUCUCCACUUUGUAGCACGCCUUCGUAAAUCUGAAUUUGGAGCAUGUGGUACAUAAAUUAAGUAGGUUAUACAUGUUGGACUUGGAAAUUGAAUUAGGAGAAAACCUGCGAUUUGGACCUGUCACUUGUUUAAACUGCCUGAUUUAGCUCUAGGAGCCGUUAUUAAAUUGUACUGUCGCAGUAUCUUCGAGACGAGUACUCCAGGUAGUUUAGAUUACAUUUACGCUCGUGCUGGUGCGCCGAGUGGAUUUUUACAGGAUCGUUCAGGUUGUUCCGGACUGGUGGGUGCCGUCAGAGUUGACGGUGGACCCGUAUCGCCUUUUUGGCGUCAGAUUGUGCCGAGGGCACAUUACCUGUUGGUGGUUAGACCAGUUUGAGUCGGUUACUUGACUUUGGCUUUUCAGAGCCUGUUUGAGUUCGACAGAGAUACGCUGCAUACUCGGUUGGGUAGCGCCCACGAGUGCCACUCCGGAGUCAGGCUUGUGCUUUCGCGUUGGUGUCGCUCAUGCCAGUUGGACUUGCUCUCCACGGACCAGUUAGUGUGGAGGUAGCUGGACAGUCACAACGGGGCAGGGACGGGUGUAUUCACAGUCCCCGGGACGGGUAUGUUUACAGUCCCGAUUGGAUUGGGUCAAAUUGGACAAUUCCUGCAGUUGGUUAGUAUAGAGCAUGAUAGUGUAGUAAUUGAUAGCGGUAGAGUUUACUUCCUGCUUUUCUGACUACUCUUGCUCCCUUCUGUAGACUUAGUGGGUAGACCGAUGUUGUUUUGGGCGGCACCCACUGAGGACUACCUGUUUUUACAGUAGUUCUCACGCCCAGUUGUUACUCCUGUUUUGCAGAGCCACAGGUGCUGGCUGCUGCAUCUUCCGCCGACCAGGAUCGAGGCAAGGGCGUUGCGAGCUAGAGCCCUACCCGACAGUCAGAGCUAGAGGCUUUCCCCUACUGCAGGUAGUUGUUGUUUUGGAGUUUAUGUACAUAGUUGUUUAACUCGCCAAUGCGAGUAGCCUUGUAUUUUGGAUUCUAGCUAUGUAUAUGAAACUCAGUUAUUUAGUUUUUGAGCAGCUCUAUGCUACUGUUUGUAGUAUCGUAUUUUUUCAGGUACUUUGACGCUUCGUAUACAGGGAAAAUUCCUUUGUAUACGGCGGAUUUGUCGGCGUGCCCAGGGAACGAGAUAUCCGGGGCGUGACAAAUAUAAUAAAAUUUUGAAGUCUAAUUAUUUUUUUAACCACAGAUGGCGAUGGGCGAUAGCAAGAGGAGGGCUCUUUCACCCUUCUCCCUGUAUCGGCAGAGAUCUAUUCUUCCGCCUGUCCUUCCUAGUCCCCUACCGCCGCCUCCUAUCCUCCUUCCUACAGAAAGGUGUUGGCGGCAGGGGACGUGGCCCAAGUCGCGCCGCCGUGCGUUCGUUGCAACGGAGUUCGUGGGCAUCGCCAUCUCCAAACCCGAUAACGCGCACGAACACGCUGCGUUGUGAUCUCCGGGUCGGUCACCUUCCUGACCUAUCUCAUCACGCCCUGCGCCGCCCUGCAACGUGGUGACGCUUGCUGAAAGCCUUGCGGAGGCCUACCAAGCUCUCUUCUUGCCGGCGCCCCCCGACAGCAGCGUGGUGGUGGGGCAGGUGGUGCAGAAGCACAAGUUUGUGGAGCAGUGCUGCAACCUCUGCUGCCUCGCAACGCAUCUCGUGAUCGGACGUAGCGGGGAGCUUCGCGCGUUCCUGAGGUGGCCGAGGAGUCUUUAGCGGCGGAUGAUUUUGCGACGAGGCCCAAGGAGACUGUAGUAGCCGACAGGCAACAGGAGGGCUCAACUGCUCAAGCAGUCGGUGUUGAAGAUUGGGAAGGCGGCGGGCGGGCGGGCGGGCUGGCAAUCUCUUCUAAAAUUUUGUUUCUUAGUUUAAAAAUCAGUUUUCUAAAAUAUACCUCUCGAAAUCUAAUCUUUAUUUUGGAUUCAAACUUCAACUUUUUAUUUUGAUUUAGAAGAUAGAAUUUAAAUUUAAUUUUAAAAUAAAUAUUUAUAUUUUUAAAAUUUUAAUUUUAAUUUAUGUUUCAAAUAUUAANUUUUAGAUUUAUUCAUUUUUUUUAUUUAUUAUUUAUCAUAUUUUUAAAUGGCUACCUACUAUGUUCUGAUCGGUGGUGAAGUCUACUAGAUUCUCGCCGAGAGAACCUCAUUUAUAGGUUCAGUCGUAACCACAGCAUAUAUUCCUUACUUAAAAACUUACAUAAAAGGCACUACUCUUUCCUCCUUGCGAGACAUUUAUUUACUUAUAUUGAUUUACUAGUCGUUUUAUUAAGUCAGCUUUAUUUUAUUUCUAUUUAGAUCAAAUCAAAUCUUUAGUGUGGAUUCAGUUAAAGUACGGAGGUCCCCGAGUUUGGGUAGUAAGAAAGAAGGCUGCUGGCGAAUGGUUAUAAGUAUCACGGAUGUUUUUAUUAUAAAUUUUUUAUUUAUUUUUGAAUUAUUUCGUAGGUUUUUUUUUUUUUUUUGAUAUCCCGUGAGGAGUAUUGUGUUGAUGACGACGUCGCUCUCCUCUCGCGCUCUCUCUUCUCCUACGUCGCUCUCCUCUCGCGCUCUCUCUUCUCUCUUCUCCUACGUCGCUCUCCUCUCGCGCUCUCUCUUCUCUUAUGACGUCCUAAAAAGUUGUGACCGAUGUUCUUCUCGCGCUGUCUCUUCUCUUUAUGACGUCCCGAAAAGGCCGAUAUUCUUCUCGCGCUCUCUCUUCUCUUUAUGACGUCCCGAAAAGGCCGAUAUUCUUCUCGCGCUCUCUCUUCUCUUUAUGACGUCCCGAAAAGGCCGAUAUUCUUCUCGCGCUCUCUCUUCUCUUUAUGACGUCCCGAAAAGGCCGAUAUUCUUCUCGCGCUCUCUCUUCUCUUAUCCAGAGAGCUUUCCUGAAAGACGGGCUUUGGACAUUUUAAAUCACGAAAUUAUGUGGAACAUAGUUGAGUCUGAGUCUGAUCCUGAAGCUGAGCCCGAAGUUGAGACCAAGUUUAACAAAACUUGCCCAGGAGGGACUUUGUGUCAUAAGUGGACGCAAUUUGGGAUUGGUUUUGUAGGGAAUCGUAUUUAAUUUGGUUUAAGGUUAGUAUUUUAAAUUGAUUUUUAAAGUCGUUUUAAACUAUGAUAUUAAAUCUUGUAUUUAAACUUUUAACCUUUAAUUUUUUAACUUUGAAACUUUUAACCUUUAAUUUUGCUUUAUACUUAAAAAAAUUAAAGUUUAACGUUUAGAAUUUAAAUUUUAAAUUUUGGACUUUAAACUGUUAUUUUUUAAAGUUAAAGUUAAAAACUUUUAAACUUUAAAUAUUAAAAUUUUAAAUUUUAUAAUUUUAUAUUUUAAGUUUUAAAUUUUUAAUUUUAAAUAUGGAGUAUUAAACUUUUAAUUUCGAAUAAUAUAAACUUUAAUUUAUAGAUUUAAAAAUUAAAGUAUAAAAUUAUAAACUUUGUAUUUAAUUUUAAUUUUAAAAUUUUUAUAUUUAUAAAUAAAAUUUUAAUUUAAAUUUAAGAUAGAAGAUUUAGUUUUAUUUUUCAACUUCAUUCAUACCUGCUUGAACAAAUGAACAGCGCACUGAGGCCUAAUUGAAAAACGUGGAAUUUUAAGUAUACAAGAGAGAAGGAACCUUAACGAUAUAUGAUAUAAUCUUGCAAGGAUUGUAUACAGAUGUAAUUUAAAUUUAAUUUCGAUGACAUGCAUAAUAAUAAUUAGGAGUCAAAUUCAACUAGAGUUAUAAUUAGACUAUGUACGGAGCCAUUUAUAUAAUAUAAUAUACAUGUUCUGGCCUUCUUAAUGAAGCCGCAAUUUGAGAUCGUGCAAAUUAAUUUAGUCAAAACAAGGACAGGUCGUUCGGAUGAGCGUGGCAUGUGUAUAGGCGCUGUAUGGAGCGCUACACUGAAUAUAGUUUUGUUUUGAAUCUUUGCUCAGUUUUCUUUUGCUCGGUUAUGGGUGAAAUCAUAUAAAUGUUAGUAUUUUAGUAUUUUUUUUUUAUUUUGGUAUUAGUUAAAGUUUGCAUCUACUUUUUAUUGUUUUACCUCCUAACACUAUUUUUAGUUGACUAAUAAUUUUUUAAAAAUUUUUUUAGGUGGAGAAAUUAUUUUUUGUGCUUCCGGAACCAUCAUAGAAUGCAACAACAGCAGUAAUGACUUUUUUGAUGUGAUCAUAUUGACUACAGCUAGUUUACUGAGAUCCCAUGUUGAAGAUAAGAUAGUAGAAAAUAUACAGGUAGAUAAUAUGAAAUUUUAUUGUUAAUUUUAAUUUUAAUUUUUAUCUUCAUUAGGCAUGUGUUGUUUUAAUGUUUAUUUAUCCUUAAAUUUUCUUAAGAUAAUGGUGUACUUGUGGGAUGGGAAAUCGUACAAAGCGGAAGUUCUCGGAUACGACCCCUAUUUUAAUAUGGCGACUGUACGGAUUCGUUCAGAAGUUGCACUUAAAACUGCAGUACUAAGGAAGGUGGACGACUCAAUAUCGAUCAGUCCAACCGCAUAUGAUUCCAGGGAAGCUAUGGGACCAAUUCUUCGUCGACAUUCUAAAAAAUUUUGGCUUGUUCCGGGGGAUAAGGUCGUAGCCGUUGGACGGCAUCAUGAGCAGCAUAAUCUUAUGGUCGCUCCAGCCUUAUUUAGGUGAAAUUAAUACAUUAAUAUUUGAUUAUUAUAAAUUUAGCAUUUAUUUUAUUCUUUUUGAAUUUUCAGUAUAAAAGUUAGGAUAUAAUAAUUAUGCAUAUGCAAUUCGAAGACAUGUCUAGAGCUAAAUUAAUUGUAAUGUUUAAAAUUAGGCUUCAGAUUUUGUAUAGUUCUAUGUUUAUAUAUAUAAUUUUUUAAUUAACAAUUGAGUUUUUUUUCUUUCUCUUUAGUGCUGAUUGUUGUCGACUAGAUUGCAAGGAGCUUUUUAGGGCUAAUUGUAAAAUUACAAAGGUGAUUGCUUCUAUCUUUUGUUUGCACAUAAAUGUGCAUAGUCACAUAGGAAUUAAUACAUAUAUAUAUAUAUAUAUAUAUAUAUAUUUUUUGUAGUGUGGAAUUGGAGGGCCGCUGCUUAAUAUGGAUGGGGAGGUCAUAGGAAUUAACUUUAUUGGACAUUUAUGUACUCCAUUUUUGCCUAGUAAUGUGGUCUCUAUAUGGUGGAGACACUUUAAAAAAUAUGGGUAUUUUCUAAACCCUUUUAUAGUGUAAUUUUGUAAAUUUUUUCUUUGUGGAAACUUUAACAAAAGAAAUUUUUAUUAAAUUUUUAAUUAUUGGUUUCUUUCAGGGAAUUCUGUCGGCCAUGGUUAGGAAUUGAUGUAGCAAACUUAUAUUCGGGAGAAGUGGAUGUAUUGAAAAAUAUUGUUCGAAAAUUUCCUAACAUUUCAAGAGGCGUUAUUGUCGAGAAGGUAUUUAUUUUUGAUGAAUUGUUGAUUUUUAGAACUUGCUAAAAUUUGUGCAAUUUUAAAUUAUUUUGGAAGUGAAAAUAAAAAAUUAAGAUAAGUUUUUGGACACUAAAAUACAAUUUAGUACUCUACAAAAUAUUUUUAAUAAAUUAGGGCUGAACUUGGUUUUCAUUUUAAUGUUGAGAUAAAAUAAUUUUACUCAGCUUGUUAAUAUUUAAUUUUUUCUAUUUAUACAACUGUUGUAAAUAUUAUAUGCUAAAUUUGUUACAGGUUGAACUUGGUUCUCCUGCUUGUGUUGCUGGAAUUAUUUCUAAUGAUGUUAUUGUUCGAUGUGACGGAAAGAAAGUGAAAAGUUUUUUUAGAGGUGAGGUAUUUUUGUUGUUGUUGUUAUUAAUUCGUUAUCUGUAUUUUUAUAUCUGUGUAAUACUUAAAUUUUUUUUAAACUUAUCUAAAUAUUUUUUUUUUAUUUUUUUAAUGUUUCUUUUUAGUUUUUUAAAAAAAUUUAUCACAAGAUUGGAGAAAAAGUUGAGCUUGGGGGUGAUAAGACCAGAUGGUGCUUAUCUGACUGUUUCGAUCCUUGUCGACGUGGCUCCGCGAAUGAACAAGUAAAAUUUUUCUACCCUCUUCUACCUAUAUAUUUUGGAUAUUUAAAUAAAAAAUAUUCUUUAUUUAAAAAUAUAAAAGUAAAAUUAUAUAAAAAUAAUAAUUUAUAUUUAUUCUCGUUAUGUAUUUUGCAUUUUAUUUGUUAUGUAUUUUACAUUUUAUUUGUUUUUUAAUUGUUUAGGUGGCCGGUUCCGAGGGCUCGUCAAAUUCACAAAACAAGACGGCAGGGAUAAAUAACAGUAUCAUUAUGUGGCGGAGAUGGAGAUGGACUUUUUUUUAAUUUUUGUUUCACUUUAUGGACUUUUAGUAUAAAUUCUUUUUUUAUUUAAAAAUAUUAUGAUUUAUGUUUUCUGAUUAUAUUUGGAUUAUGUUAUUUAAUGACUCCGCACGUUUAUUAUUUUAAGUUUGCUUGGAUAUUUGAUGGUCGGAAAUGUUUAAAAUUAGGUAGGAUUACUUGUGAUUUUUUUANGCGUUGGUGUCGCUCAUGCCAGUUGGACUUGCUCUCCACGGACCAGUUAGUGUGGAGGUAGCUGGACAGUCACAACGGGGCAGGGACGGGUGUAUUCACAGUCCCCGGGACGGGUAUGUUUACAGUCCCGAUUGGAUUGGGUCAAAUUGGACAAUUCCUGCAGUUGGUUAGUAUAGAGCAUGAUAGUGUAGUAAUUGAUAGCGGUAGAGUUUACUUCCUGCUUUUCUGACUACUCUUGCUCCCUUCUGUAGACUUAGUGGGUAGACCGAUGUUGUUUUGGGCGGCACCCACUGAGGACUACCUGUUUUUACAGUAGUUCUCACGCCCAGUUGUUACUCCUGUUUUGCAGAGCCACAGGUGCUGGCUGCUGCAUCUUCCGCCGACCAGGAUCGAGGCAAGGGCGUUGCGAGCUAGAGCCCUACCCGACAGUCAGAGCUAGAGGCUUUCCCCUACUGCAGGUAGUUGUUGUUUUGGAGUUUAUGUACAUAGUUGUUUAACUCGCCAAUGCGAGUAGCCUUGUAUUUUGGAUUCUAGCUAUGUAUAUGAAACUCAGUUAUUUAGUUUUUGAGCAGCUCUAUGCUACUGUUUGUAGUAUCGUAUUUUUUCAGGUACUUUGACGCUUCGUAUACAGGGAAAAUUCCUUUGUAUACGGCGGAUUUGUCGGCGUGCCCGGGAAAUCUUAUGAUGAUAAUUCAGAAGCGUGAAAUCUUAUUAUGUUAAUUGAUAAUUUUUAGCAGUAAUAUAAUAAAAUUUUGAAGUCUAAUUAUUUUUUUAACCACAGAUGGCGAUGGGCGAUAGCAAGAGGAGGGCUCUUUCACCCUUCUCCCUGUAUCGGCAGAGAUCUAUUCUUCCGCCUGUCCUUCCUAGUCCCCUACCGUCGCCUCCUAUCCUCCUUUCUACAGAAAGGUGUUGGCGGCAAGGGACGUGGCCCAAGUCGCGCCGCCGUGCGUUCGUUGCAACGGAGUUCGUGGGCAUCGCCAUCUCCAAACCCGAUUACGCGCACGAACACGCUGCGUUGUGAUCUCCGGGUCGGUCACCUUCCUGACCUAUCUCAUCACGCCCUGCGCCGCCCUGCAACGUGGUGACGCUUGCUGACAGCCUUGCGGAGGCCUACCACGCUCUCUUCUUGCCGGCGCCCCCCGACAGCAGCGUGGUGGUGGGGCAGGUGGUGCAGAAGCACAAGUUUGUGGAGCAGUGCUGCAACCUCUGCCGCCUCGCAGCGCAUCUCGUGAUUGGACGUAGCGGGGAGCUCCGCGCAUUCCUGAGGGGGCCGAGGAGUCUUUAGCGGCGGAUGAUUUUGCGACGAGGCCGAAGGAGACUGUAGUAGCCGACAGGAGGCGGGAAGGUAUAUUUUUAAGAAUUUUUUGAGGGCUCAACUGCUCAAGCAGUCGGUCAGUUGCAAGGGUCAAGAGUAUAUUCGAAGAUUGACCUUCAAUCGAGGUAUCAUCAGUUGAAGAUACGGCCCGAGGAUGUGCACAAGACGGCGUACCGUACGCGGUAUGGCCAUUAUGAGUUCACGGUGAUGCCGUUUGGACUUACAAAUGCUCCGGCGGCCUUUAUGGACUUGAUGAACCGAGUCUUCCGUCCGCUAUUGGACCGGUGCGUCGUGGUCUUCAUUGACGACGUAUUGGUAUAUUCUCGGACCGAGGAAGAACACGAGGAGCAUUUGAGACUUGUAUUGGAGAUACUCUGGAAGGAAAAACUAUAUGCAAAACUGAAGAAAUGUGAGUUUUGGCUUUCGGAGGUUACUUUCUUGGGUCACGUUAUAUCCGGUGAUGGCAUCUCGGUGGACCCAAGGAAAGUUGAGGCGAUUAAAGAUUGACCUCGCCCGACAAGUGUAUCGGAGAUCCGUAGCUUUUUGGGACUUGCGGGCUACUACCGGCGGUUCGUGGAGGGGUUUGCCAAGAUAACAACUCCACUAACGCGCCUUACGCACAAAGGGGUGAAGUAUGUUUGGAGCCCCGAAUGUGAGCGAGACUUCGAAGAGCUCAAGACAAGGUUGACAUCUACUCCGGUACUUACUUUGACGAUGCCAGGAGAGGGUUAUGUCAUUUUUAGUGAUGCCUCUUAUGUCGGUCUCGGGUGUGUGUUGAUGCAAAAUGGCCGAGUGAUAGCUUAUGCCUCGCGCCAGUUGAAGACGUAUGAGAAGAACUACCCGACACACGAUCUCGAGUUGGCGGCGGUUAUUUUCGCGCUAAAGCUUUGGAGGCAUUACUUGUAUGGUGAACAUUGCGAGAUCUACACCGAUCAUAAGAGCCUCAAGUACUUGUUCACCCAGAAGGAAUUGAAUUUGCGAUAGCGGCGGUAGUUGGAGUUGCUCAAGGACUAUGAUGUCACUAUCCUAUACCACCCCGGGAAAGCAAACGCCGUGGCCGAUGCUCUAAGUAGAAAGUCGGCAGAAAACUUGGCGACGGCGCUUACGCCACAACCGGCUUUGCAAAAGGAAAUACAACGGUUUGGGCUUGAAGUAGUGGCACCGGGAGUACCGGCAACAAUUGCCACGUUGAUAGUGCAACCAACUUUAUUGGAGAAGAUUAAAGAAUUGCAAGUUUCCGACGAAUUCCUCCAAAAGGUGCGGAGCAGAGUUGAGAGCGGUAGUGCCGAUGAAUUUGGCAUUGGGACCGACGGUGCACUACGAUUUGGAAAUCGUUGGUGUGUGCCCAAGGACAAGGAUCUCAGGCGGGCAAUUAUGCAAGAAGCACACCAAUCUCCCUAUAGCAUUCACCCGGGAGGCACCAAAUGUACCAAGGCCUCAAGAUGCAUUAUUGGUGGCCGGCCAUGAAAAGGGAUAUAGGGGAGUUCGUGGCACAAUGUCUCACGUGCCAGCAGGUAAAGGCGGAACGUCGAUUUUCGGCGAAAAAAUUGCAAAGUCUACCUAUACCCGUGUGGAAAUGGGAAAACAUUGCGAUGGAUUUUGUGACGGGCUUGCCUAGGUUACAAGGUGGACACGAUGCCAUUUGGGUAGUUGUGGACCGGUUGACGAAAUCGGCACACUUUUUGCCGAUACACACUACUUGAUCGGAGGACAAGCUAGCUCAAAAGUACAUCGACGAAGUGGUGAGACUUCAUGGGGAUCCGGUAUCUAUCAUAUCGGAUCGAGACCCGAGGUUCACUUCGCAUUUUUGGAAGAGCUUGCAAGAUGCAUUAGGCACACGGCUCGACUUUUCGACGGCAUUUCAUCCUCAAAGUAACGGUCAAUCGGAGAGGACAAUUCAAAUACUUGAGGAUAUGCUUCGAGCAUGUGUACUUGACUACAAGGGUGGAUGGCACGAUCAUUUAUUGAUGGCGGAAUUCGCAUACAAUAAUAGCUAUCAAGAAAGUAUUACGAUGGCGCCAUUCGAGACCCUUUAUGGAAGGAAGUGUCGCUCGCCGAUUCAUUGGAGCGACGUGGGCGAGAGGAUUGCUCUUGGCCCCGAUGUGGUUCAGGAGGCGGAGGAGAAAGUUCGCCUUGCCCGACAACGACUAGCGACGGCGCAAUCGAGGCACAAAAGCUAUGCCGACAAGCGGCGAAAGGAUAUUGAGUUCGCGGUGGGAGACCGCGUAUUUCUAAAAGUAUCGCCUACACGGGGAGUAAAGCGGUUCGGUGUUCGCGGGAAGCUAAGUCCCCGCUAUAUCGAACCCUUUGAGAUCUUGGAAAGGAUCGGUGCGGUGGCUUACAAGUUGGCGUUACCACCACAGCUUGCGGGAGUGCAUAAUGUAUUCCACGUGUCUCAACUCCGCAAGUAUGUUCAUGACCCCGAGCAUGUCCUCGCGUUGUACGGGUAGAGCUACAGGAGGAUAUGACGUACGAGGAGUUUCCGGCAUAUAUUGUUGAUCAGGAAGUGAAAAAGCUACGCAACCGCGAAAUCCCGUAUGUCAAGGCAUUGGUGUGAACAUGACAACCGGGAAGACACUUGGGAGCUCGAGGAGGAAAUGAAAGAACGAUACCCUCAUCUCUUCGAGAAUCUGGAUUGAGGUAUGAAAUUUAGAUUUCAAACUUAGUAGUUUCGCGGACGAAACUAAUUUUAUGGGGUAGAGAAUGUAACGUAUUGAAAUCUCGAAGUGAUUAUCGAACUUUAGUCAAAAUUGGUUAAAGUGUCGAGCGGGAUGGUUGGACGAAUUCCAAUUUGCAUUCCAACAUGUUUGGAAGGGCAAAAAUGAGUUUAGAAAGACUUAGAAUAGUUUUGGCAUCGACCGGCGCGAAGUAGAGUCGAAUCGAAGCCUAAAACAGCAUUCUGGAGCUGUUGUACCGGUACAGGGUGAUGGUUGUACCGGUACAACCAUCAACCAGGGCUCAGACAGCUCUCGGGUUAGUGCAGUCCAGGUGCUGUACCAGUACAAGACCCCUUGUACCAGUACAAGACCUGCGAACCCGAGAGGCAGCUCUCGGGUUUGGCUCACUGGUUGGCCUUGUACCCAUACAAGAAUCCUUGUACCGGUACAAGAGGCCCCAGACAGCAUUUUCAGCCUGAUGCAAAUAAGGCUUUUCGGGGGGUUUUGUUGUAAUUGUUACAACAUGUUAUGACCCUAACCCCUCUCCCCUUCACAGCAAACACACCCAAACACCCUCUCCUCUCAUUUCUCUCUUUCUCUCUCUAGAAACCCUAGCUCCAAAGGCUUGGAGGAGGUGGAAGAGAAGGAGAAGAAGGUGAUUUGGUGGCUUUGGAGGCUUGGGUGACUCUCCAAUAAGGUGGACCUCGGGAGAGCUUAUAGCUAAGGUAAGGUUUUGGUACAAAUGAGUUUAGGGUUUGGUUUUAGACCUUAGAUCCUUGGGUUUUGAUCUCUUUAUAAGUGUAGAAACCCUCUAACGCCAUGAAACCAUGAAAUCCAUGGUGACCUUGAAGUGCUUUCAUGGUGGAUCACUAGGGCUCCAUAUAGAUGCCCUAGGGUUGGUUCUAGAAGCUUAGAAACUUCAUUAGAGAGCUUCCUAGUAGAUUCUAAGCUAGCUUUUGCUUAAUGUUGAGAUCAAUCUAAGAGAAACCCUAAAUGGUAUUGUUAGGGCUUGGAUUUUGGGACUUUUGCCCUAGAAUUUUUUCGAGGCAAAUUGACCUCCUAGAAACCUAAUUGGGGGUGUUCCCAACGUGGUAGGAAACUCCGUUUCGCGAAACGAAAAUGUUCUAGUAUCGUUGAUGUACAACGGGCCUAAUUUGGCUCUAUUUUGGGGUUGUAGGUCGCGGAGCGGCGGUCGAUUGAGUGUAGCAAGUAUCGGAAUCGCUUUCACACACCUCGCAAGGUGGGGGGUGCACGCCGGAAUCAUCGAAUUCCCUAUUAUGUCUAUUUCUCUAUUUUUGAGCAUACGAAUGUAUAGUUUUUCAUGCAUGUUAGGGUUAAGAAUCAUGUGAAUGUUAUUUAGUUAUCAUUUUUAUGCUUCUAACAUAUUUGAACUUAGAAAAUGAGAGAACCAAGAGAUCAUGUUUGGUAGAACCCUAAUGUUGGCAUGAAAGAAAGACUUGGACUUUGACAAUAGUAAAUAUUGGUGAUAAUGACAUAGAGACAUGGAUUGACCUUGAGCAUGAGAUCGUUAAACAUAGGUUUAACCAAGAGUGGCAUUGUGGCAAGAACAACUUAGAGAGUUGACAAGAACAAUAAGUAGAAAACCUAUCAACAAGUGGCAUUGAGAUUGGUGGCUAUGAAUCCUCAAGUUGAGGAUUAGAUCGAUACUCACGAUAUGUGUUGGCUCGAGGGUGGUAGCUCCCCCUCGGGCGGUGCGCUCCGGAGUUGGUCACCACUGGGCAUGGUAAAGUCCCCCCAGAGGACGGUCCCUAGGGAGGUUCGAGUCCCCCGUUAUUAAGGGAUUUGGGUUGUGAGUGAUUGGGGUUAACAAUGUUAACCGGAAGAUUGGGUAAAAGCCAUGGUAUGACAAGUUAAAGAUCAAGCAUGCAUGCAUAUUUACCGCUUUAAAUAUCAUUGAUAUAUCCACUGACUUCUUUCUUGCAGGCAUAGUAUUAGCUACAUUAGUAAUGGUUACUUUUCCUUUCUUUGAAAUACUUAUGUCUGGGUAGACCUAGUGGGUAAGUCGGCGAGGUCGGUUGCCGAGCCCACUGGGAACUUCGUUGUAGUUCUCACACCACUAACCCUACAGGUCCUAGUACGAGCGGGGUAGCGAAGGACCGAGGCAAGGGUAUAGCGCCAUAGCUAGUGGCCACCGGAACUUACUUGCAUUUUGUAGUCAUUCCAUUUUGGGAGUUCAUGUAUCAACUUUAUUUUGUUGAUUUAGAAAUGUAAAGUUGUAAACAAUUAUAUAAUAUUUGGCGAAUGGCUAAAUGUAAAAGAUUUAUUAACGCAAGGCAAAAAAAAAAAAAAGAGAAUGUAAUAGUUUAGUUUACUUUUAUUUGAUGCAAUUAGCAAUCAAGUAUUAUGUAUGUUUAUAUUAUAGCUUAGAGCUUCCGCUUUCAUUAUUGCUUGCCCUCGUGCAAAACUUGUAUAAUUGCUAAUCUCAUUGUAUGAUUGCUUUAUUAUACAUGUUGUUAGAGCCUUGGGGGGACAGGGGAGGCUCUGUCCGUUCGGCGUCUGUUGACGUGACCCGAAUCCGACCAAAUUGGCGGGGAUUGGGGCAUGACACCUGGAGCCCUCAAACCCGAGAGCUCGGUCUCUCGGUUUCGACGGGUUUGUACCGGUACAAGACCCCCUUGUACCGGUACAGCACCUGAAGCCCUCAAACCCGAGAGCUGCUCAGCCUGGCAGCGAUGGUUGUACCGGCACAACCAUCACCUUGUACCGGUACAACAGCUCCAGAAUGUUGUUUUAGGCUUCGAUUCGACUCUACUUCGCGCCGGUCGAUGCCAAAACCAUUCUAAUCUUUCUGAACUCAUUUUUGCCCUUCCAAACAUGUUGGAAUGCCAAUUGGAAUUCGUCCAACCAUCCCGCUCGACACUUUAACCAAUUUUGACUAAAGUUCGAUAACCGCUUCGGGAUUUCAAUACGUUACAUAAGUUAUUUGAGUUACAUAAAAAUUGAUAAAAUAAAAUUAUCAAAAAUACUGAUUAAAUUGUCAUGUUGCAUCAACAGAAUAAAUAUAAUAUAUAGGUUAUUUGUGUGAUAUAUUAAAGCUUAUCAAAUUGGCAAGGUUAUAGUAUAAAUUUAUACUUGAUUGAGUUGGAGACGUUUUGCGCAAAAUAGACAUAAAAACGGACUUUAAAAUUCAAGAUUUACAUUGUAGAGGACUAAAAUUGAAUACUAAGUUAUAGAGGGUCUUGUUGGCAUUUUCGCUUUAUUAAACUGUGGAGUCCAUGUUGCUAUCCUCUAUCCUUAUCCUUGCCUUUUUGUUGCUAUGUUUUAGGGAUAGAGAGAGAGAGGUUUUGAGCACAAAAAAAAAAUAACAGGUAAGAAAGAGAAGAAGCUUGGUUUCUUUCUUACGAGCGAGCAAGCGAGUCAAGUGCGCGUACAUGUAUUUUUGCCAUUUUGAUGUCACGGUUAGUAUUACAAUAUUAUUAUUUCUUGUUUGGACUCUUUUGAUAACUUUUUGUAGAAAUUGAGAGUUGAAAACUGAUUUUUUUUAUACAUUUUAGAAGCAGAUUUCGUGCAAUUUUGACGAGGGAUUUUCGAGCUAUUUUAGACUGUUGUGGCUGCUAUCCCGUCUACCAUUCAUUUUCUAAGAUUUGCGUUAUAGGUGGGUUCUGUGUUGUCAAAAUUGACGGACUAAUUUCUAUAUCCAUAUUAUAUUAAUUAAUAUGUGAGAUUAACUGUUGACAUAGUUGAGAUAAUAGUGAUAGUUUGACAUCUACUAGUAGAGUAGAUUGAGACAUUUAUAGAUAGUGUGAGAUUAUAACUAUAUUUUGGACAUUAUGACAGCAUUAUCAUGAUUUAUUUAAUUAUCACAUUUGACCACAACGUGCAUGCUAUAUUAAGUUUGACAGUGAUACUAUACUCGGUUGGGGUAGCGCCCCAUGUGUGCCACUCCUGAGGUUAGGUUAUGAGAUAUAUUAUGGCAUAGGCCAUACAGUAGCUUGCGGGUAGAGGACCACUAUAGGUGGGUGUUGGACAUGAGGCGGCACAGGUUAGACCUGAUUGUUGAAUCGAUCACUAUGAUUUGACAUUAUUUUAGUAUUUUAUUUAGUCUCUAAUUAAUACAUGUAAAACAUAAUUUAUAAUUUUAGCUAUAUUGUCGAGUUAUGAUAGUAGCAGUUAUUUUUAGCAAUUAUUCAUAUUAGUACACGUUCCUUCAUAUUGCUCAGUAUUUAUUAUUUUUACCUCUUAUGGACCUAGUGGUAUAGACCGUCAGCGUUGACGAUCGUACCCACUGGGUACUAUUGAUUAUAGUUCUCAUACCCUCUUAUUUAAUAUUUUAUUUCAGAACAUUAAGCACCAACGAUUGAUCGAGGUAAGGGAAUCGCGGAUAGUUAGCAUCUCCUAUCCUUCUUGUGUGUGUAUUUGGACCUCCUAUUAGUAAGCAGUCUAUACAGUAUUCUGAUACUUAGAGUGGUCAGAGAUGUUGUAUCAUUUUGAAGAAUGGUGUGGUGAUGAUUGUAUAUCGUUACAGUGUUGUUAUAGUAUAUAAUUUUUUUUUUCUCUGAUACCUAUUGUGGUUGGAUUUUAGUUAAUUUUGUUGAACAAGUUUUGUUGAUGCUUCGUAUGUAUAAGGUGCAUCCUUGUACAUGCGGCGGGUCUGUUGACAUAGCCCGAGCGCUAUAAUCCUGUCACGCCCCGGGGCCGAUUUUAAAAACCUUUUUCAAAUAGAGUUGCGGAAAACGUGCCAUUUUUUUUUUUUUUUUUCAACCUGGCCCACGCGACGUACAGACCCGCCACAAAUACAAAGUUCCUCUGUCCACUCGGACAGAGUCUCCUUUGUAUUUGCACGGCGUACCAACGAUACAACAGGAUCACAACCACAAUCUACAUUUACCAAUCAACAACCAAGGCAUGAUAUGCAUUUUCAUACAGCUAACAAUCCUUAGAAUGAUGCAUGCCUCUAAGCACUCCUUAGGCGCUGGAUGAUGCAAUGCACAAUACAACAAACAUCCUAUUUAAAAGUGCUCCCCACACGGAAGCUUUUGUUUUUAAACUCUAAUUCAUUCAUUCAUAAAAACCAUUCGAAAACCUUUUUAAAACUGUUUCCCACACGGAAACUCUAUUUUGAAAACCGACUACCUCGAGGGGUAGAAAACCACGAUAUGUAAAUACAAAAAAAUCCGAUAUCCAUAAAAUCAAUAUCCAAAUCCACAAACCUUAGUUUACAUGCAUAAAUAACGAAAGCAUCCCCAGAUCUACCAAAACCAGAUCACCAACAUUCAAACAAUCAUAAAGAUCAGCUAACUGAACCAUAUAAACUAUCUAAGCUAUAUCAACAGGACAGUAAGGGUAGAAACUAAACCGAAUAACCUGAGUCGGAAGCUCUAGCGACCACUACGAACGUGUCUCACGUCUCGUCUCAACUCUCACCGCCGGCGAUACCUGAAAAAUAGUGGGGGAGGUGAGAACAUGUAAACAUGUCUCCCCUCCCAGUGGGUACCGCAAGCCGAUGAAGGCGAGGAGUACUCACCGGAUCAGGAAGAGCUAAACAACAGUACGGGUCAGUAGAAAUACAGUAGCAAUAAUAGUGAAUGAAAGAGACAUAUAUACGAAAGAAGUACAACUACCGCUACUGUAAUGGACAACUGAAUGUAUACAUGUAACAAGACUAUGUAAUGAAAGAACUGAAGGUAUACAAGCAACAACCGCUACUAUAGUUAUAUGCAUCAACCGGACAAGAAGUCCAAAUAUACCCAAUCUAGUACCUGCUAUAUUGGUCCGCAGACCUCAAGCGCUGCCUGUCACUAACCUGCACCGACCUGAUUCACCCGCCCCACAGGACGACCCAUCCGGAUAAGUACACCUCCGAUCGGUGGCCAAACCGAUCCGGUGUCGUGAAUACCCCCAAGUGCUGUGACUAAGUCAUGAUGGUAUGCUCAAUACAAAAACCGGCUGAAACCGGUGCCUAGGCCGAAGCCAGAAACAAGGACGUACAACGCCGAACCUCGAUCAACCAGAUCGAAACACAUGACGAGAGAGUCAAUGUGUUACCUGGACCCAAGGUCCACAGAGUCCAACCGACCAGCAAGGUCACUGAUACGAAGUACGAGAACUGACCAACCAGGUCAACAGAUACGGAAUGCACAACCAACCAACUAGGUCAACAGAUACUGAAUGCAACAACAGACCAACUAGGUCAACAGAUACUGAAUGCAACAACAGACCAACUAGGUCAACAGAUACAGAAUGCAACAACAGACCAACUAGGUCAACAGAUACAGAAUGCAACAACAGACCAACUAGGUCAACAGAUACAGAAUGCAACAACAGACCAACUAGGUCAACAGAUACAGAAUGCAACAACAGACCAACUAGGUCAACAGAUACAGAAUGCAACAACAGACCAACUAGGUCAACAGAUACAGAAUGCAACAACAGACCAACUAGGUCAACAGAUACAGAAUGCAACAACAGACCAACUAGGUCAACAGAUACAGAAUGCAACAACAGACCAACUAGGUCAACAGAUACAGAAUGCAACAACAGACCAACUAGGUCAACAGAUACAGAAUGCAACAACAGACCAACUAGGUCAACAGAUACAGAAUGCAACAACAGACCAACUAGGUCAACAGAUACAGAAUGCAACAACAGACCAACUAGGUCAACAGAUACAGAAUGCAACAACAGACCAACUAGGUCAACAGAUACGCAUGUAGAUAGAACUACUCUACUCCUACUCAGGAUACUAAGCAUGCAAACAACGAGUAGAGUAUAACGAAUAAACAAGGGUGCAAGGCUCAAUAUACUAUGCGAUAGUAACAACAGAAGAGUAAGGGUAAGAAACCGUCACCAAGCGUGCACCACUGUACCGACGUCGGAUCGAAGUACCCACCUGUACGGAUGUCGCGUCUGUCUCCUGACUGCAAAAGAAUGUCGACAGGACCUAUAGAGGGUCCACCGGGUUAGUAUCUAACCCACAACUAAUAAUCACAGUAUCCACCACCUCACAAACGAUUCCACAAAGAUCGGUUUCCCAAUACCGAUUACCGUAACUCGCCGGAAGUCCCGAAAACCACACCGGGACGCCGUCGGGACCCACCAAGUGUCCCGAACUCACCGACUCAUACCACGAGUCACCCGCUGCCCCAAAACAUUCCAAUUUGGAUGCCUUGGCAGCGAACGCAAGGUCACACAGCAAUACGAUCAUCGCCGGAUAAUCGUACGAAUCCGGGUUCCCGGAAGUGUCUAUUUCGACACCGGAACCCUCCGUCGCUCACCUAUCCUCAUCGAACCCACAAAAUGACGAUGGUGACCAGCCAACAAGGCUCAGCGACAAAACACGAAGCAACCAAACACCGUCGGAAAGGAUCCGAACCGAAACCGCGUUCUUUCGGCGAAUUUCGCCGAAAAACGCACCAAAAUCGACUCUUCGAUUUCCGCGAAAACUACAGGAUCAUGGACAAUCAGUCCAGAGGUCAAACACACUCACACACGUUGCCCACAGUAGCCACACAAUGCACAAUUGCAUAAAAGCUCCUCAACUUACAUAAAAUACCAUUAUUUUAUGUAAAUUGAGCGAUCAAGCGGCUCGAUCACGCAAACCGAGAACUCCCAAGGUCCACAGAGACACCCACUGACAGGUCUCGAUGUACCGGAGGCCGUGCUCAUGAUUCGGAGCACAGCGGCUCGCUGUGGGAGGCGCGGGAGCAACCCGAAGGUUCAGCGAUUAGCGCGCAGUCAGGGAAGAUCGCGCCGAACAGAACUAACCGGACACUGUUGAUCCAAAGUGAGGUGAGCACUGUGAUCAGCACUGACCAACGAUCACCGUGCUCACCUCCGGAGGCAUCAGGACAGCCUCGGAUCGCCGGAUAAGCGUGCGCAAUCCCAAAACAGCAGCCAAACAGGCUGAAACGGAGCGACAACGCCAAAACAGUGGAACGGAGUCUCCCCGACAGAAACUAAGGUGAGCACGAUGAUCAGCAACUUGCCAGGAUCAUCGUGCUCCCUUCCGUACAGAUCGGGGAGGCUCGGGAAGCCCAGAACGAGAAACCCACUCAAUAAGCUCCAUUUCGGGCUUGGCCGGAGCAACCUUGCUCCGGCCGGCCUCCGGCGGCACGACGGCGUGCGCGGGGCCCUGAGUCGGGUGAGGGGGAGGUGAGGAACACCGUGCUCACCUCAGGUGGCGGCUGGAAGCGGCGGCGGCGGCGGCGGCGGCGGAGCAAACCGAGCCCGCACGAGAUCGAGCUCGGGUUCCAGGAGUUGCUGCGGCCACGGCGGCGGCCGGGGAGCUCCGGGACGGCGGAGGCGGGCUACAGGAGGUCGGGGGAGUUACCCCGGGGUGGCCCAAGGUGGCGGCGGCGCUGGGAAGGGGUCGCACAUGAGAUCGGCCUGGGCUCGGGCUGGGGUGGCCGCGGCUGGCCGAGGCGACGACGGCGGCGCGCCGGGGCGGCGGCGACCGGCGGGAAGGGGUGCCGGGGCACGGGGGACGUCGACGAGAGGGUUCCCAGGCGGCGGCGGCGCACUGGCGGCUGUGGCAACCCGGCUCGGCCUGAGCUCGGCCUGGGCUGGCAGAUGCGGCCCGGGGUGGCAGCGGCGGCGCAGGCGACGGCGGCAGUCGGCGGGGAAGGUCGCCGGAGCACGGGGUGACCCCGGGGGAGGGUCUGAAGGUGGCGCAGCCCCAAGCCUCCACACAACCCGAGAGGAGAGAGGGAGAGAGAAAGAGAGGGAGAGGGAGGAAAGUGGUGGCUGCGGCGGCGGGUGGCCGGCCGGGACUCGGUCGGCGGCGGCCUGGGCACGCGCAGCAGAUGCAGGGGAAGGAGAUGAAGGUGGCAGGGGGGCUAGGGUUAGGGUUUCUAGUAGCAAACCCUAAGAGACAACUAUAUAUACAAGGUACAACUUGCAAGAAAGCCCCUCAAACGUCAAAAUUUCUAUCCGAGUCUCUCACAGUACGACAAAAACGCAUGAACGACCCUCCACGUGCGAUCUCACGCAAAACGGUACAUAAAAUAUGGCGACUUUCGCGAAAAUACCAUUUUGCCACUACCGUCCUCUCCUCGAUCAACGCGCGAUCUCCGCAGAUCCGUCCGUCAGAUUUGCGAACGGAUUGCACCGAUGCGAUCAGCACCUCGGAGACAACAAAGCUGCGAUUUCGUUUCGUCUUGAUCGACCACGGAUUCACGACAAAAUCCAACCUUCUUCGAAUAGAAGGAAACACACACAAAAAUACAUAUAAAACAUGUAUUUUU
rnacentral:lncRNA from 1 species